rnacentral:lncRNA from 1 species
AUACAUGUUGAUCCUCUAGCUGUCAUUCAUCACUAUGUUUUUUUUUUCUUCCUUUCUAAAACUGUUUGAGAUUCUCUUAAUAUUGAGGAACUCUUUUAUACAAUUUGUCAGCAUCCCAAUAUAUUAGGAUAUAUUAUUAAAAUUAAAUUAACUUUUUUUUUUCUUGAACAGUUUUGUUUAUGUAUUUAUAUCUUCAAAAUAGUAUUUAACUAGACUUUCUUAUUGGUAAACCUCUAAACUACCACUGUUUAGACUGUGUAUGUGCAUAUAUAUAUAUAAACACACACACACAUGCAUAUACAUAAACACAUAUGUAUGUAUGCAUCUGUGUGUGUGUACAUACACUGAUAUUUAUAUAUUGUCCUUUUACAAUAUCCAUGAGUUUAGAAACUUCAUGAUGAAUAUGGCAAGAUUUGUAUCUCAGGUCAGUGUGGGAAAUAUCUUCGGUGCUCUUCAUACUUGUUAUAUUAAUUGAUGUUUUCCCCAAAUUUUGAGAAUAAGACAUUAGGCCUCUGUGGGUAUUGACUACCCCACAAGAAGUCAUCUCCUAGCAAGCUGAGCUUAUUAUCUCAGCCAAGAGGUGUUUACUUCUACUGAACAGAUGGUAUCUACUAGUUGUAAUUGUUAAAAUAAUAAUUUGAAGUUCUGUAGGCUGAUGAUUAUGGGAAUGGCUAUCUAAGAGUAGGAAUAAGUAAUGUUGUUUUUGAUUCUCAGUUAAAACUACUUUAUUAAAGCUAUUAAAAUGAGAUUCUUCUUAAGGUGACGAACUGGCAGAACUAUUAGCAUCAUGGGUGAAAUGCUUGGCAUCAUUUUGUCUUGUCUUUACAUUCAGCUUUCACUGAGGUUGACUUUGCCUUUCAUCUUUUCAGUGUUGAUAAAUUAAGUACCAGUUUAAUACUGGGGUUGAUGUAAUUGACGCCCCCCCCUCCCUCCCUCAAAAUUGGUUACCUUGUGCCAAAAUUUGAAGCCAAUAUGAAUUCCUCUCAGACAUGGUGACUUUUUUAUUCCCCCCCCCCCCCCCCAACCCUUUUGUAAGAUUUUGUAUUUUAAUGCUGACGUAACAAUAUUAGUAGAUAGCUAAAGUGUGGUUAGAAUGGAACUAGAUUUCAGCUUAUUUACAACUCUGAUCUUAGUUCGAAUCUAUCACAGAUAUGUUAAUGAUAUCCCUUCAAUUGAUUUUAUCUCUCUCUCUCUCUGUCAGUAUUGAUUUUCAAAUUCCCCAACAUUUGUUGUGUCAGGGUUUAUGAAGUUAUCAGUCACACAACAAACAUUUGAGAUUUUCAGUAUUUCGGUUACUUCCUGGCAGGGUUUGUAAGUUGAAAAGGUAGGGAGGGGGCUAGUUGCAAAUGUGUUCCUUUUUUUUUUUUUUGUGCUCCUUUCUCCUCUUUCAGUCCUUUCCAGUACUUUUUAUAAAAGCCUUUCAUAUCUUCAAAAAUCCAACAAAUGUGACAAUCCAUCAUCCUUGAUUGAUUUCCCAGAAUCACACAACCAUGUUAUAAAAUUUUAUAAAAAUUGUAAUUCUUAUUAUUAUGUAUGUGUUGCCUAUGAUGGGCAAAAAGCUCUUAUUUUGAAACCUAUGAUUAUUAUUAUUAUGAUCUGUAGAAUUUCUCUUGUAUUUAUUUUAUGAAAUCUGUAUGUUCCAUUGUAAAAAUUCCUGUUUUGGUUUAAACGAAAAAAAAAAAAAAUCUGAAGAAAGAAAUUGAAAUAUGGAAAAAUAGCUUCAUUUCUAAAAUAAAUCUCUGGCAAUUCUGUUCCAUUUUUACCCCCUUUUCUGCCCCCUAUCCCCUUACUGCCAUCGAGAUUUACAGUUGUAUUAUGUUAUUUGUACCUGGCCAAGCAACUAGAAGGAUUACUACCAGUAAACACUAAAACAGAAGGACAAUGAAAUGAAUACACAUGCAAAAACGGUCAUUAAUGUAAAAGACACAAAGAAAACCCAUUACAUAUAUAUAUGUAUAUAUAUGAAGAACUCUUGGAAUAUGCUUAAUAUUUCUUUUGAGAAGCAACUUUUGACCACUGACUACUGAGUUGAAAGUGGACAAUAAUUAUUUAUUUGGGUGUCUUUGUUGACCUUUCAUUUACCAAUGUCUUUGGCCGCCUUGAAUUAGUUGACAGACAGUCUGUUAAUCCAAGGGAAACUGAAACGACAACAACAUCAUCAAUACCAAAAUCUGGUUGUGGAUAAUCUCUGGAGUUUCUUGCUCCCUCUUCUCUUCUCUCUCUCUCUCUCUCUCUUUCUCUCUCUUCCAUCGUGCCAACAUCUACAUUUCUGAGCAAAUGAACAAGACACACAUGAUUAAGAAUGGUCCAUCUUGGAGACAUGUUUAGUCUAGUGACCUGUUUGUUAUUCAUCUUCAACUUGGUCUGUAUAAUGGAAAGUUCUGGAACAGUCAGUUAGAAAUAGAGAGAGAGAGAGGCAGAUGGAGGUCGAGUGAGACCAUGGAGAAUGAGAAAAGGAAAAAUAUAAAAAUACAAAAAAAAAAUGCAAGGUAUAUGAAGAAAUGGAACAAAAUGUGAAGGAAAUGUUUCUUUUCUGAUAAAAUUCUUGGAACCAAUUAAGAGAUCACAGCUUACCAAAAUGAGCAAAAGAAAAAAAAAAGAAAACGUGACCUCCCAGAGUGACUGGUUAUGUGAAAUAUUGAAGUAUAAAUGUAUUUCUGUAUACACAAAUACAAAAUAUACACAUGCACACAUUCUAGUAAAUGUACAUGCAUGCAUAUAAAUAUGGUGCUGUGCAUUUGCUGUCUCAUGCAUCUAUCUUCAAACACUAGCAUACAUAGUCCAGAACAAUGUGUGUAUAUAAAUACAUAUGUAUACAUAUAUAUUUUGUGCAUACGCAGAUUUAAUCAAUCACAGCAACAAUAUCCCAACCAUAAUUUAAACUACAACAACCAAAAUGAAGAAAAAGAGGAAAGAAAUGGUGGCAGUAGUAAUGAUGACAAGAAUGGUGAUGGUGAUGCAUCGACUAUCAUUCUGAGAGUCAUUUGUUCCUUUAUUUUUUUUUUAGUUUGUUUUAAGUGGAGUGUAGCAAACAGCUGGGGGAUGGAUAUCUACCAAAUACAUGAAAGGAAAAAAAAAAAAAAGAAAUUUAAAAAUAAUCAGAAAGAAAAUCAUUUGCUGCAGCCAUGUUUAUUUUUUGGAUUACUUACCUAGUGUGUGGUUUCCUCAAUCCAAAUUUGCCUCUGUGGGUUAUCCUACUCACAUCUUGGGAUAAGUACUAAAACAGGUUGGUAUGUUUGUUCACUGUGUGUAGCAACAUUUAGUUGAUGUUAAUUUUUAUAUUUUACUCAGCAGAUUUUUUUUAAACCAUUAUUAUUAUUAUUGAUCAAUUAACCUGUUUUGUUUGUUUUUAAUUUUUUGUCCCUUUUUUUCUGUAUAUUUUUACCAUCUCCACAGACACACACACACAGCCAUCUAAAAAUUAAACUUUUUAGUUUUAGCAGUUUUCUUUUUCAUAUUUUGCUAAAAUAAUUCAUUUAAAAGAUUUAACCUCCAAAAGACACCAGUUGUUGUGUCUCAAAAGAAAGACAAGGAAUGUAAGCAAGACAUGAUUUCUCUCUUAUUGGAAUUUUGAGUUCUGUGGUGCAGGUGUGUGUGUUUGUGGGGUUGAUGUAUUCAUACAAACUGAGUAUCUCUAGCAAAAGACAGAAAGAAGAAAAUGAAAAAAAAAAAAUGUAUUCUCUGCAAAGACUGGUAUAUAUAUAUAUAAUGUAUGUGUAUAUAUCUUUAUAGAAGGCAAAUCUAUUCAAUUCUUGUUUAAAAAAAAAAGAAUUUUUUUCUUAAUAAAUAUUUUAAAAAAUAUAUCAAAAUUUGAAAUUACAAAAAGCCCUGUGGAUAUUUGAUUAAGUUUUUGUUUUCAUAAGGACGGAGUGAAACCUGUUUGGUUCCGCUUCUGGAGUGAUUAUGUUUCCCAUCAGUCUUCCGUAACUAUGACAACUAACCCCUAGCCAAUUCUCUCUUUCAUCAAUACACUUGCUAUCCUACUCAGGUGUGUAAUUUGCGACCGUACCCCAGGUAUGUUUCUCUUUACUUGUUAAUUCAUCUCUUCAUCAUUUGGCAUUUAUUUAUCCUCUACAAUCACAACCGACAACGUACUCAACUAGUUUCACACCAAAAUUCACCCUUUUAUCUCGUAUCUAAUUCUAAUCGAAAGGUAAUUGUUGAUUUUUUUUUUUUUUGUUAACUUUUUCUACCAGCAGAGAACAGCUUCCAUCAAUUUCUUCUGAACUCUUGCCUCCUACAUUCUUUUUUAUAUCUUUGCUGCAAUCUCUCUCUUUAUUUUUUCCUUUCUUUCUCUUUGAGUUCCAUAACCAUGUGUUGCAAUAACUGCAGAAGUAACAUUUCCUUUGUCAUAUUUAAUGCUGUGCUCUUUAAUUUUUUGCUUCCAUGUCAAAAUUUGCUGCUACUUAAGCCCAUUUCUGACCCUCUAUUUUACACAACCUGGUCACUGAUUUAUUACACCUAAGUUUUAGAUAAUUAAGAGGCUUUAGAAAUGUUUUGGUAAAAUAUCAGCAACUUUUACAUAUUUUUAUUUAUUCAUAUAUAUAGAGAGAUAGAUAUCUUCUAUUUUUUUACUUGUUUCAGUCAUUGGGCAGUGGCCAUGCUGGGGCAUCACCUUGACACAGUUUAGUCGACUGAAUCAACCUCUGUCUUUUACCGAACCGCUAAAUUAUGGGGACGUAAACACACCAACACCAGUUGUCAAGCAGUGAUGAGGAACAAGCAAAGACACACACAUGCGUAGACAUGUAUGUGUAUAUACACACACAGUGGGCUUCCUUCAGUUUCUGCCUCCCAAAUCCACUCAGAAGGCUUCGUUCAGCCCAAGGUUGACACUUGCCCAAGGUGCCACACAGGUUACACUUUUAUAUAUAUAUAUUAAGGUUUUAUAGUUUGCUUGAAGCAUUGUAUAUGGAAUAUAACAUUGAAAGAUUUAAAAGCCAAACAAUGCAAAUAGAUUUUAAGAUGAGGUAACAUAAACUAAAAGUAAAUUACCUGGUAAUCUUUGGUCGUAUAUUUGUCCAAUAUUUCGGGACAUACAAGUCCCUUCUUCAGGGUUAAAAAGGAACUGUCCUUGGCGAGAUGUUUUUUGUUGGCGAUAAAAUUAUUCUAUGAUAUAUUUGAAUUUUCAAGCGUUUCUUUUCUUCAUGAAUGUUAGUGACGUCAAUUAUUAACUUAUCGCUCCACAAAUCAAUUUUCAUCCCCUCUUGUGGACUGAUGUUGGUGUGUUUACAUUCCCUUAACUUAGCAGCUUGGCAAAAGCGACUGAUAGAAUAAGUACUAGUCUCACAAAGAAUAAGUCCUGGGGUCGAUUUGUUCGACUAAAGACAGUGCAUGGCCACAGUCAAAUGACUGAAACAAGCAAAAGAAUAAAAGAAUUCAUGUAAUUUUUAGAAUUCAUUUUUAAAAAAUUUUUUAAUGGUUACUAGUUAAGGCAGUGAGCUUUGCAGAAUAUUUUCUGUGCCAGACAAAGUACUUAGCAGCAUUUUUUCUGGCUCUUUACAUUUUGAGUUCAGAUGCAGCUGAGGUUGACUUUGCAUCUCUGUCCUUUCAGGGUCGCUAAAAAUAAAUACCAGUUGUGCAUUGGCAUCAAUGUAAUCAACCUCCUCCUCCCCUCAAAAUUGUUGUCCUUGUGCUAGAAUCGAAACAGAUAUUAACUGUUACUAGUCAGACUUUCUCUAAUCUGCUGGUGCACUUACUUAUAUACCUUUGCCUUUUAAGCACAUUUAAAUGAAAGUGAAAAUAUUCCCUUUACUAUGGUGUCUACUAUCAACUGAUAGUAGGUAACUCAAAGCCUUAUUUCAAAUGUAGCAUGCCUUUGUUUUAUUUAAUCAUAAUGCGCAUUAUAUUUUCAUAUAAUUUGUCAUGUUAAUUUCCAGUUUGCCAUAAUAUUAUUACUAUUAUUAAGGCGGUGAGUUGGUAGAAAUGUUAGCACGCUGGGCAAAAUGCUUAGCGGUAUUUUGUCUGUCUUUACAUUCUGAGUUCAAAUUCUGCCAAGUUCAACUUUGCUUUUCAUCUUUUUUGGGGUUGAUAAAUUAAGUACCAGUUGUGUACUGGGGUUGAUCUAAUUGACUGGCGCCCUUCCCAAAAAUUUCGGGCUUUGUGCCUAAAUUAGAAAAGAUUAUUAUUAUUAUAGCAGUGAGCUGGAAGAAUCGUUAGAACAAAAUGUUUUGUGGCAUUUCUUCUGCCUUUCCUUUCUGAGUUCAAAUUCUGCCAUGGUCAACUUUGCCCUACAUUCUUUUGGGUUUGAUUAAAAAUAAGUACCUGUUGGGCACUGGGAUUGAUGUAAUCAAUUUACCCCCUCCCUCAAAAUCACUGGCCCUCGUGCCAAUAAUUUGAAAUUAUUGUUAUUAUUAUUUAUUAAUGGGUGGAUGAAUUUGUAAAGCCACAAGCAGAAUGCCUUAUGGUAUUUAGUUAUGUCUCUAAUGAUCUGGUCUGCUCUUUGUUCAUAUUUGUUCAUUUAAUUUACAUCUGUUUUUUCAUGCUGACAUGUGUUAGAUGGAGACUUAUUUGGAGACAUUAUUUUUAUUUUAUAGUCAGGUGCUCUUCCUAACUGUUACUUGUUUUUCAAAUGAGGGCUUUUUAAAAAAAAAAAAAAUUCUGCUGGUCUUUGUUUAUAAGGAAUGUAAAUGUGAAGAUGUGGAAUGUUGAUAUAUAAUGGGCUUUCAUACCAUUCUCGUCUGCCAGUUCCACUUCCAAGGCAUGUACCAGUGAUAGACAUAAUAAUCAAGGGGGUUGCUGUCUAAGGAGUUAGGUGGCCAGAUGUUGGAGGUGAUGUGGUCACAGAAAUUGUCUGACAGCCAUGACUGGGUUCUCCUGCUUUUGUGGCAUGGUGCAGAGUCCUGCUGCUAGACAUAGGGUCUUCCAGGCACUUGAUGUAGGACGUGUGGGAAGUAGCUUAUAUCCUCUACUCUUACUCCAUACUUUUUGGUUUUGUGCCUGUGCCAGAAGGGAAGAACACAUAGUCAGGUGGUCGCAAUCAUAAGAUCAUGGUUGCGAUUCCUUGACUGGGUGAUGUGUUGUGUGUGUUCUUGAGCAAAACAUUUCAUGUGACAUGGCUCCAGUUCACUCAACCAUAAACAAGUUCCAGCAAUAGCUGAGAAAUUGGCCCUGCAGUAGACUGGCUUCACAUUUGGUCAUUCAGAAAGGUGUCACUUGUGCAUCAUGGAAACUGGGUUGAGUUCUGGCUUUUUGAGGCCUAGAGCUCAUGAUAGAUCUCAUGACAGAAUCUGUGUCACAAGUGGAUUAAAUGCCUUGUGGUGUUAGAUACAUCCCACAACUUUCUGAGGUCAGUAUAUAUCAUCAUCAUCACAUCCAAUUCUACAUGCUUGUAGGAGUCAGAUGGAAUUUGUAAAGUUAAAUUUCUUGUGGCUGGAUGUUCUUCCUGUCAACAACCCUCGCCUGUUUCUAAGCAAGAUGUUUCCCCAUAGCCUCAUAUCAAGACAUGGAUGCACACAUAAGUUGGUGUUAGGAAGAGCAUCUAGCUGUAGAAACCCUGCCAAAACUGACAACAGAGCUUGGCACAGUCCUCUGGCUUGCUAGCUCUUGUCAAUACAUCCAACCCAUGUCAAUGUGGAUAACAAACAUUAAAUGAUGUUGAUGAUGAUCAUGGUGAUGUAUUUGCGCUAUAGGCUUCUUUCAGGUUUCACCUACCAUAUCCACUCAAAGCUUUGGUUUGCCAAGUGCUUUGGUAGAAAAAACUUGCACCAGGUGGCAUGCAGUAGAACUAGACUCAAGACCAAAUAGUUAGGAGGUACACUUCUUAAAAACUCAGCUGAGCCAUACUGGUACCUUCUAUAUAUAGGUGCAGGAGUGGGUGUGUAGUAAGUAGCUUGCUUACUAACCACAUGGUUCCAGGUUCAGUCCCACUCCGUAGCACCUCGGGCAAGUGUCUUCUGCUAUAGCCUCAGGCUGACCAAAGCCUUGUGAGUGGGUUUGGUAGACAGAAACUGAAAGAAGCCCAUCGUAUAUCGGGUGAGGUGGUGAAGUAUAACCUUUGAACAUUGGGCUUCACAGAGACAAUGCCAAAAGACAGAUCUCUGGAGGUAUGCUGUGACUGAGAAGACCCGGCAAAUAAAGUGAGUCCCCAUCUGUAACCUUCACCAGUGUCGCAUAAACAGCCCACUCAAAAGUACCCUGGAUCAUAGGGCGAUAUGCUGUGCUUGAGGAGACAUAUUGGAUUAAGUACAUCAACAGCAAUAUCAAAAUCAAAUUAAACGGAAAUUGUAGUUGUGAGCUCCAUGCUGGUAGCACAUAAAAAGUAUCAUCUGAACGUGGCUGAUGCCAGAGCUGCUUUGACUGGCUUCUGUGCCAGUGGCACGUAAAAUUCACCCACUACACUCUCAGAGUGGUUGGCAUUAGGAAGGACAUCCAGCUGUAGAAACACUGACAGAUCAGGUUGGGGCCUGGUGCAGCUUCCUGGCUUUCCACACCCAAGUCGAAUCAUCCAACCCAUGCCAGCAUGAAAAACAGACAUUAAGCUGUGAUGAUGAUGAUGAUAAUGGUGAUAUAUAUGUGUGUUUACAUCCUCGUAACUUAGCGGUUUGGCAAAAGGGACUGGUAGAAUAAGCACUAGACUUACAAGAAUAAGUCCUGGGGUUGAUUUGUUCAACUAAAGGUGCUGCUCCAGCAUGGCCACAGUCAAAUGACUGGAAUAAAUUACAUGAGCUGUGCACUUCUAGAAUCUGUGGUUUUGUGUGUAUUACAGAUCAUUGUUAUCAUUACAUGGAUUUCAAGUGUUUGGGCAGAAAGCAAGAUACCAGUGGAUACAAUCUUCGAUUUGGCUGCAUUGAUUUUCUACCAAAAUGUGAUACCCAUCCGCAUAGUUUAAUGUCAAUAAUUGGUUAGGUAUAACCGUAAAAAUCUGUCUUAGGGUUCCUCCCUCCAGAUUUGUGUAAGAAUUUAUUUGUUUCGCUAUUUUUAAAGCUCAAUAAAUUACCCCACUUGGUUGAUGCAGUCAGUACUGCUGUCUUGUCUGGUGCUGUGAUUCCAGUAAUUAUCAGGAUGCAAGAUUUGUAUGGAGUUACCUGUUCUGAGAUGAGCAGCUAAACGCUCGAGAACCUCAUCUGCCUUGGGUUCAUUGGGGUGUCUGUGAGUGACCUUCUUCUGGAGCCAAUUCCAUGACACGCUAAUCAACCCAUAGAUAGGACCCGGGUAUGAUGUGGUUCCACACUCCUCAAAAUUUUUGGAACUCUCGAACCAGACCCUGAUACUAGUUUCUGAUUGGAAAAUUGAUGUGUGGGUCCUCAGCCCUGACAAUAAUCGCACUGAUUUUGCCAAGUGUUGGUCACAUAUUUAUUGAAUUCCUCAUAGCAAAAUGGGUAUCAGACUGCUGCUUUCACCACUGUAAUUUACAGUCAUACCUAGAACAUAUAGACUAUAAUUGGCUCUAAUUAGAUUCAGCCACUUCGUAAAUAAUCUGUAGACAUGAUAUUCCAGAGUCCAUUGCAAUCAGGAUAUCCUAUGGCACACUAUGAUCAACAUACUCAAAAGCUGCUGCAAAAGUCAUGAAGCAAAUGAUGGUUCACUAUUAGUAGCUCCAAUGUUUUCCCAGAACCCUUUUCUGAUUGGAAAUUUGAUUUCCAAUCAGCCCUGACAAUAAUCACACAGAUUUUGCCAAAUGUUGGUCACAUGUUUAUUGAAUUCUUCAUAGCAAAAUGGUAUUAGACUGCUGCUUUCACUACCACAAGCCUGGACAAAGAUGAGCUAGAUGCCUGUAUUUUCUAUGCAAAUACUGUAUUCUAUCAUUAUCUUUCAAGUCAGGGGAUCUUGUAACCACAAAAAUAUAUCUCUCUUAAGUGCUCAUUCAUGCUAACUUGUGAGACACAACUUAUAAGUGCAGUGGAUUUAUUUAAGGUAGAAGUGUUUGGUCUAUGAUUAGGCUUUACAUUUUGUGUUGAACCCUGAAGUUUGUUGAUGUUAUCAGAUUAAUUCUCUUCAACAUCUCUUUCUCAGAUGGCAGUGCCUUUGAUCAUGUGCUUAGUUGUCUAAGAGGUGAACUCUUCUGUGAUACAGUCAUGCCAGAGUCCAUCAUAAGACCAUAAUCCAGUUGUGCCUGAGUUUCUCAUUGGGUAGUAUAAACAGUGAGGCUUUCAGCUGAAAACAGACAGGCAUUAUCAACUUGGAUCUUGAAUCAACAAAUGGUCCUUGCAUUUAAAUGUGACUUUACAUUAGACAACAUUGAUUGUCUGGCAUGGUCAUCUUCUGCGCAUGAUGCUGAAAGUUAAUGGACUGGAAUUCCAACAGAAGGUAAAGUAUAUUUCAACCAAGAAUUGAACCUGACUACAGGAGACUCCACUUGAGGCUCACUUUUCCACCGAGCUUUACAAAAUAGUCUAAUCUCGAUUCUUGCCUUAGCAAACUAACUUUGUGCAGUCUGUAGCAGACUGUUUCAAAAAUCCCAUUAUCACCAGCUAGUGACCCAACAAAGUAUUGUUUGCCUUGCUAGAAAUAACAUUUGUUCUGACUAGUCUUGGGAGGCCCACAAAGGUUCUAGGCUCUGUUCCUCUUCAAGAUAAAGUUACAUCUUUUCAUGUUAGGACAGUCAAUGGAAUCACUGUACCACCAUUACUGUUCAGUCCUCACAUAAUCAAACAAUGGACAAAACUGGACAAGUAUUGUUUGCCUUGCUAGAAAUAACAGCCAAAUCUCUCAGUUCAUACUUUGCUGUCAUUGAAAAGAGGACACGCAUUUAAUGAAUUGGUUGUGGCUCUUCUUGAUCAGAAGUGAUUUGCUGUUAAACAACCACUAUGUCUACUACGGCAGAUACACAUUUAUUACACAUGUUAGUGACCUCAUGCUUGAGAUUUUGAUAUUCUCAACAAUGUCUUCAUUCCUUCAUCCUAGUUCUCUUUAUCAUCAGGUAUUACAUCAUUUAACAUCUGUUUUCCAUGAUGACAUGGAUAGGAUGGAGCUGCACCAGGCUCCAGUCAUCUAUUUUGGCAUGGUUUCUGUGGUUAGAUGUCCUUCCGGUUGCCAACCGCUUUACAGAGUGUACUGGGGCCAUGCCUUUUACAUGGCAGCAGCACCAGUGCUUUUACAAGGCAAUGACAUCACUGUUUCUAAUGUGGCAUUGGCAUAGGUGCCCCUUAGGUGGAACCAUCACAGGUAAUUAUUUCAUAUGCUAAAGUGUUGAGCUAAAUGUCUUAGUAUAUACUAUAUUUGAUGGCAUAUAAGACACCCAAAAAUUAUCUCUAAAAAAAUCACCUCAGAUUUUAUAUACAAAGUUAAACCUCCUAUAAGCUUUAAUACAGUAAAAACAUUUUUACCUGAAAAUAUACUGAAAUACAUUACUGAAAUUGAGGUGUGUCUAAUAUAACUGUGCGUUAUUUAUGAGACAUUACAUUGGUUAGUAUUAGAUUUGUCUUGUUUGGUCUAAAUUCAUAUUCUGUCCAGGCCAGUUUUGUCCAUUGUUUGAUUAUGUGAGGACUGAACAGUAAUGGUGGUACAGUGAUUCCAUUGACUGUCCUAACAUGAAAAGAUGUAACUUUAUCUUGAAGAGGAACAGAGCCUAGAACCUUUGUGGGCCUCCCAAGACUAGUCAGAACAAAUCUGUUGGUGUUAAGUUUAAAACAUCUGGAGGUAGAUGCUCCAAUAAGUUCAGGCUUGAUUUCGUUCCAUUAAUUAAUGUAAUGAAUGAUAUGGAACCUUUUAGUUCAUUUUUUUUCAUCCUAUCUCUCUCCCUCCCCAUCCCUCUCUCUCAAGAGAAGUUUCCAGUAAGUGAAUGAUUGAACAUCUAUUCAUAUUUGUAAAUAUUGAAUGAAUCUCACCUGUCGCUUUGUGGGGCCCAAUGCUUGCAUUGAUUCUUGAUUUGUCCAGGUAUAAACAGUUACUUCUUAGUAAUACUAUCUACGUUUAUGUUUGCUGUAUAUAUGUGUGUAUAUAUAUUCGGGGUGCAAUGAAUAAACUGUCAUCUAAAUUACGCAAAAAUGAAAAUAACACUGACAUCUCAUUUUAACAGAGAUAUUUACCAAAAUUACAUAAAAAUAUCUUGAAAUACUAAAGAGUGAAUUUUUAAAAUAAAAUUGCCAUUGGCUUCAACCACAGCCUCCAGACGAUUUUGGAAUCUCCUGCAACUCUUCUGGACAGUCUUCUUAUUUAAGUUGGUGAAUGCUGUCAAAAUCUUCGCCUUGAGUUCAUCUUUGGUGUUACAGGGAGUUUUGUUGGUCUCUCACUCAACUGCGUCCCAUACAUAAUAAUCAAGGGGGUUGCUGUCUAAGGAGUUAGGUGGCCAGAUGUUGGAGGUGAUGUGGUCACAGAAAUUGUCUGACAGCCAUGACUGGGUUCUCCUGCUUUUGUGGCAUGGUGCAGAGUCCUGCUGCUAGACAUAGGGUCUUCCAGGCACUUGAUGUAGGACGUGUGGGAAGAUGAAUGGAGGUAUAACAUCACCAUCACUAGUGAUCACUCUCAGUACUCUGCACUAUCCUCAGAUCGACACCCAAACACUCUGAAAUGUUCAUAUUGGAGCUUCUGGUGUGAGUGCCAAGCAGUACAGCAUGUGGUUUCCAAAUUUCUGGCAGAAUGAAUUGCAUCAUGGUGCUGUUUUUUUUCAUAGACAGUGCCCAACUGACCCUACUAUAUUGGGUAUUAUUUGAUUCUUUCACACGCACAAUUUUCACUAAGAAAUUUUUAAAAAAAACUCAGAUUUUUUGUGUGGAAUCAAGUACCCUGACCUCCCCUUAUUUUUGUUCAGAAAAAAAGGGGUGGGUGGGAAACCAAACCCCUUCCUCCAUCCCAGAAUCAUUGGAUUUUUUUUUUUUUUUAUUCGACUGAAUUCUGGUGACCUAAUAUGCUACAAAACGUUUUAUGGGUCCGGGAAACGGGAUGGGGUGGGGUGGAACCCUCAGUAAUUUGACUCCCCACCCCCAUUUUCAAAUAUUUUUCUCUAUUUCUUUCUUUAAUGUAAUGAAUGACAUUCAAUAGAAAAUUCAAAGUUUGAAAUAAAUAAGUGAAGAUGAAGAGGUUAUAGAAGUUACCCCCACCUUUUUUUUUUUUCCAAACCAAAAUAAGGGAUUUGCAGCAUAUCAGGAAGUCAGGGUACUUGAUUCCAUGCAAAAAAUACAGGUUUUUUUUCUUAGUGCAGGAGUAGCUGUGUGGUAAGUAGCUUGCUUACCAACCACAUUGUUCCAGGUUCAGUCCCACUGCGUGGCACCUUGAGCAAGUGUUUUCUACUAUAGCUUUGGGCCAACCAAAGCCUUGUGAGUGGAUUUGGUAGACAGAACCUGAAAAAAGCCUGUCAUAUAUAUGUGUGUGUGUGUUUGUUUGUCCCGUCCCCCCAACAUUGCUUGACAACCAGUGCUGGUUUGUUUAUGUCCCCAUAACUUAGCGGUUCGGCAAAAGAGACCAAUAGAAUAAGUAUUAGGCUUACAAAGAAUAAGUCCUGGGGUCGAUUUGCUGGACUAAAGGCAGUGUUCCAGCAUGGUCGCAGUCAAAUGACUGAAAUAAUUAAAAGAGUGAAAAUUGUGCAGGUGAAAGGAUCAAAAUUUACCCUAUAUUGUGUAGUCAACAAAAUCAAAAACAAAACAAUGUGCUGCCUGACUGGCUCCCAUGCUGGUGGCAUGCAAUAAGCACCUUUCAUGUGUGGGUCGUUGCUAGUGCUGCCUGACUGGCUUCCUGUGCCGGUGGCAUGUAAAAAGCACCAUCCAAACGUGGUCGAUGCCAGCCCCCUUGCCCCAACUGGCUCCCAUGCUGGUGGCACCUAAAAAGCACGUGCUACACUCACGGAGUGGUUGGCAUUAGGCAGAGCAUCCAGCUGUAGAAGCCUUGCCAGAUCAGAUUAGAGUCUGGUGUUGGCUUGCCAGUCCCCAGUCAAACCGUCCACCCCAUGCCAGCAUGGAAAACUGAUGUUAAACAAUCAUGAUGAUGUACAUGCACGAAAUCAUGCUGGUGGUUCCAAAAAAGCACCUGCUACACUCACGGAGUGGUUGGCGUUAGGUUAUUUGUUUCCAGUGAUCCAUGAAAAUUAUGUCUGGCCAUGGAAAAAUAUUACCUUGCUUGGAAUAUAGUGCUAAUAACUUGUUGUUAAUAGUAACCUUACAAGAGACAUUUACUGAGUUGAAGAUCUGUGGAGUGUCUCUAAAACCUAUCCCAUGUCAUCAGUUUGUUCAGGAGGAACGUAGCAGAAUUCCUCAACAACAGGCUAGACCAAAUAUUGUUCACUGAUCCAUCAUUCUUCUAUAGAAUAUGCUUCUACGCUUGUAAUCCCUUAAGACCACAGCCAUGUUGACAAUAUCAGCUAGUCAUUUAGAGUUUAUGAACCACUAGUACAGGUUUCAAUUUUGGCCCUCCUCAACCACACUUUCAACCUCUGUAGCAACUUGGUAAAUUUUCUAUGCCUUUGUGUGUGUGCAUUUCUGUAAGCAAAUGUGCAUAGCUAAUUAAAAUAAGCCAUAGUUAUAUCUGUAUGUAUCAUCGUCUUUGUCAUUUAACCCCUGUUUUCCAUGCUGGCAUGGGUUGGAUGGUUUGACAGGAGCUGUUAAACUGGAGGGUUACACCAGGCCUCUAUUUGUUUUGGCAUGGUUUCUAUUGCCGGGUGCCCUUCCUACCUCCAACCACUUUACAGAGUUUACAUGGCACUGGCACGUGUGCUUUCUAUAUAGCACAGGCGUUUUCUUCAUGAUGCCAACACAGUUGCUUUUCUCGUGGCACCAGUACCCACAGGGUUGCCAAGUGGCUGUGUGUCAGGUGAGAGGCUGGAUUACAGAAGGUCGGGGAUACCUGUCUUGCAUUCAACAGUUGCAAGAUUGUGGUUUCUAUUCCUGGGUUGGGCAGUGCAUUGUGUUCAUGAGCUCUGAUGCACUCACUCGUAAAUGUGUAAUCCUGUGAUGGACUAGCAUCCCAUCCAGGGGGAAUGUUGCAAACCUGGUCAUUUACCCACUUUCACCUGACCAAAGGCAGUAGUGUCCAGGUAUGGAUGAUUACAAUGAUUCGCUAGAGUGAUGAUUCGACAGAACCUUUAAAGCUGUGGCCCUCAACCGUUGAUUUCUGCUUUUCUCAGUUGGAUCCUCAUAAUCAGUCAGUAUUUAAAAAAUCUUAUUUUUAUGCUUAAAUAUUAUUAUUGUCUCAAAGUAUUCUGUGUAUUGUAGAAAUAUAACCAAUUUUUAGCAUCAAAGCCUUAUGUGAAUGCCUCAACAGCCAUAUGAACCCUGGUUCAUAUGAAUCACUGAUUUAAAGUGUAGGCCAAAAUACUCUACAGUUCUAUAUUUAAGAGAUGAGGAAUUAUGUACAUUAUUUACAUAUGGAUAGCAGUUAAGAGCAUGAGCUAUUAACCCCAAGAUUCUGAGUUCGAUUCCAGGCAGUGACCUGAAUAAUAAUAAUAAUAACAUUGAAAAAUACCUUAGGAAUGAGAAUCCAGGUUCGAAAUUUCCCCAAGCCACCUGAUGAAGGCUGGAGAGUAUAUCAGCCGAAAUGUGUUAACAACAAACAAGAUUAAAAUACUUUACGGUGUGUGUUACCUCCUCUCCACUCUGAGAUUAAAUCUCACCAAGGUCAAAGUACCAGUCCAGAAUGGUAUAUUGGUGGAAUGGAUGAGAUACCUUGUAUUCAAUCCAGUUCUUGGGUAGUAAAUUUAAUCGCUCACCCAGUUUAACACCACCAUCUGGUUAUUGGGUGCCUGUUAGAAGCGUUUGGAUCCGAUCUCUCUGACUUUAGGAUGACAUUCUCCUACCAGUCUUAUAGGACCUGAAAAAACAGAAAAUAAAAAGGCUACCCUCUCUGAACCAUAAGCAUGGAAACAAAGUUUGCUUAAGAAGUGCAAACCCACGUCCAAAAGUUUUUACAAACGAGAUUGAUUUUUAUUCAAUCUAAAUAUCAAAAUGAUGACAGGUAUAAUAAUUAUAAUUAUAAUUAUUGUUAUAUUUGGUUGGCCCAAGGCUAUAACAGAAGACUCUUGCCCAAGGUGCCACACAGUGGGACUGAACCCAGAACCAUGUGGUUGGGAAGCAAGCUCCUUACCACAUGUAUAUGUACUUGACAUCAUUUGAUGGUUGUAAAUGAAUGUCAGCAGAAUUCUAGUUUAUGCAUGCCAUAUAACCCCUCAUAACCUCUUUAAUUUUUGGAAUUUUCAGAAAAUGAUUGGUGCAUCAUUUAAGGCUUAUUUAGCUGUUAUUUUUAGCAUAUCUCACAACCACCUGAUACCCUCCUCUUUUCUUUAUCACUGACGUAUUGAUGCUUUUCAAUAUCUUUCUCCCCAUAAACACAUUUAGUGGUCUAUUUUGCUGGGAUUUAAGCCAAAAAUUCAGACUGUUUUAAACUGUGAUUGAAAAAAACUUUUCUGAAAAUUCCAAAAAAUAAAACUGUUACAAUGGGUUAUAUGGUGUGCUUAAAGCAGAAUUCUACCUGAAAAUCAUUGUCAUACAAGUGUUGAUUGUUUCCAGUCAUAUGUGGAAAGCGUAUCUGGCAAUGGGAAAAGGAUGGCAACAAGAGCAUCUGCCUCAUAAAUUCUACCUGAUCCAUGCAAGCAUGGAAAAAUGGACGCUAAAUGAUGCUGGUGUUGAAUUCCUGUAGGGGAAGUGAGAUUUUAAACUUACAUCUUGGAGGAAUUCAAUUAACCCUUUAGCAUUUAAACCGACCAAUAUACUCUCCCUGUUUUGUGUUCAAAGUGACCAGACUCUCACACUUGCCCUACAAUAUUAUUCUAAAAAUAAACACUCAUGUCAUUGAAAUUUCAAAGCUACGAGAUAAUUUAUGUUUAAUUCAAAACAACAUGAAUAAAUAAGUAUUAUACUUGACAGAGUAAUUUGAAUGCCAAUGGGUUAAGCUUUUUGUUGCCAUAUUUCUGUUGGAAUACAGUGCCUUUGUUUCAGUUAGUUUUGAAAAUAAUGCAGAUUUUAGUAAAAUAAUUUUGUCAUGUGUGGAACAUAGCAUAAAAUUUUGAUGGAAGGUUUUAAUUUACAUUAUUUACAUUGGACAGAUAUGUGUCCUCAUCUUGUUGUUACCAUAAUGUUUCGCCUGAUGUACUCUCCACCCUUUAUCAGGUGUCCUGGUGGAAUUUCAAGCCCAACCCUUUAUUUGACUAAUGGGAGUACUCUGUUCUCAUUGCUAAGGUAUUUUUUGCUGAUGUUAUUAUUAGGUCGAGGAAAAAGUUUGUGCAUUGUGUUAAAAUAUUGCUUUUUUAUAUAUUUUUGUGGUGUGUGUGUUCAUUCAGUUCAUUAUUUUAACAUGCUGCACAAACUUUUUCCUCAACCUAUUAUUAUUUAUUCAAGUCAAUGACUGCAAUUGAACGUGGAAUCUUGAAGUUUGUAGCCCGUGCAUAUAGCGUAGUGGUUAAGAGUGCGGGCUACUAGCCUCAAAAUUCUGAGUUCAAUCCCAGUCAGUGACUUGAAUAAAUAAUAACAUCAGUAAAAAAUAUCUUAGGAAUGAGAACAGAGUAUCCCAUUAGUCAAAAAAAGGGUUGGGUUUGGAAUUCCACCAGAACACCUGGAGAGUACAUCAGCCGAAACGUUAUGUUAACAACAAACAAGAUGAGGACACAUAUCCAUCCAUUGUAAAUAAUGUACGUAAUUCCUCAUCUCUAAAAUAUAGAACCGGUUUUAAUUUACAUCAUUUUAAAACAAAAACGUUUGUAUCAAAGAACCAUGGGCAGUCUCAGAUAGACACAUAAUAAUUUUUUCUACUAUAAGCACAAGGCCUGAUAUUUUGGGGGAGGGGACUAGUCAUUUACUUCAACCCUAGUGCUCCACUGGUAUUUAUUUGAUUGACCCCAAAAGUGAUAAAAGGCAAAGUCAACCUCCACAGAAUUUGAACUCAGAACAUAGCAACAGGCGAAUACCGCUAAGCAUUUCAUCCAGUAUGCUAACAAUUCUGCCAGCUCACUGCUUAAAUAAUAAUAAUAAUAAUUCUUUCUAAUUUUAGUACAAGGCCAGCAAUUUUAAAGGGAAUGAGGCAUAUAAAUUACAUGGACCCCAGUACUUGACUGGUACUUUAGUGGCCCCAAAAGGAUAAUUGGCAAGAUCUGAGCUAAGCUUGUUGCUUAAUAAUUCUUUCUAAUUUUGGAACAAGGCCAGCAAUUUUGGGAGGCAGGGUGGUAAGUCAACUACAUCCCACCCCACCAAAGUACUUCACUGUUUCUGUUUCAUCAUCCCCAAAGGAUGAAAGCAAAGUCAGUGUCGGAAUUUGAACUCAGUGUGCCACGAAGUAUUUUGCCCAGCAUUCUAACAAUUCUACCAACUCACCCCUUUAAGAAUGAUUCUGAAUUGUGGCACAAGGCCAGCAAUUUCGGAGGAGGGACUAAGUUAGUUGCAUGAACCCCUGUGUUCAACUGGUACUUAAUUUAUUGACCCUGGAGGGCGAAGUCAACCAUGGUGGCAUUUGAACUCAGAGUGUAAAGUUAGAAGAAAUGCCUCUAAGCAUUUUGUCUGGCACGGUAACGCUUCUGCCAGCUCACUCAUUAAAAUAAUAAUAUUGAUAAUAAUAAUAAUAAUCCUUUCUACUAUAGACACAAGGUUUGAAAUUUUGCAGGAGGGGACUAGUUGACUACAUCAACUCCAGUGUUUCAUUGGUUCUUAGUUUAUUGACCCCAAUGGAUGAAAGGCAAAUAUGACCUUGGUGGCAUUUGAACCCAGAACAUAAAGGCAGAUAAAAUGCUGCUAAGCAUUUUGCCUGGCAUGGUAACGAUUCUGCCAGCUCACUGCCUUAUUAAUAAUAAUAAUCCUUUCUACUAUAGGCACAAGGCCUGAAAUUUUGGGGGAGGGGAAUUGUCAAUUACAUCGACCCUGGUAUGCAUCUGGUAUUUAAUUUAUCGAUCCUGAAAGGAUGAAAGGCAAAUUCGAUCUCAGCAAUAUUUGAACUCAGAACGUAAAGUCAGACGAAAUGCCACUAAGCCUUUAGCCCUGUGUGCUAACAACUCUGCCAGCUCGCCAUUUCAAUAAUAAUAAUAAUAAUGGUUUUUAAUUCAGGCAUACGGUUAGCAUUUUUGAGGGGAGGGGAGGGGUUAGUUGAAACCCUAAUACUGAACUGGUACUUUGUUAUUGACCUAAAAUGAAUGAAAGGCAAUGUUGACCGUGCCAGAAUUUGAACCUAGAACACAGGAAAUACCACAAGGCAUUUAUUGUGUCAAAUGCUCUAAUGAUUCUGUCAAUCAACUAAAGGCACAAGGCCUGAAAUUUGAGGGGUGGGGACCAGUCGAUUAUAUCAACCCCAGUGCAUAAUUGUUUCAAAUUUCGGCACAAGGCCAGCAAGUUUAUGGGAGGGGUUAAGGUGAUUACAUUGACCCUUCCCCCCCAGUGCACAAGGGUACUUAUUUUGCCAACCUCAGCAGAAUUUGAACUCAGAAUGUGAAGAUGGCCUAAGCUCUUUGUCUGGCCUGCUAAUUAUUCUGCUAGCUCUCUGCCUUCAAGCAUCUUUAACCCUUUCGUUACUGUAUUUAUUUUGAGAUGCUCUGUGUUUCUUUCAAUUACUUUAAAUAUAACAAAGAAUUUAAUAAAAUAAUUUAGUUAUCAUUCAGCUAGUGUUAGGAACAUAAAUUGUGAAUAAGCUUUGAUUGAAGAUUUUAAUUCAAAACUUAUGAAAACAAGACAUUUGUACUCAGACCCAGAGCCGGUUUCAGCUGGGUUGGUAAGGAAAGGGUUAUUAAUAAUAAUAAUAAUAAUAAUAAUUUAAGAUUUUGUACAAGGCCAAUACUUUUCUGGUACUUUGGUAUUUUAUCAACUCCAAAGGAUGGAAGGCAAUUUGACCUCAUCAAGAUUUGAAAACAAAACAUAAAGAGCUAGUACAAAGCAUUUUUUUCUAAUACUUUAAUGAUCCAGCCAAUCCGUCAUCUUUAUUGAUACUGGUGGUGAUGUUAAUAAUAAUAAUAAUAAUAAUAAUGAUUUCUUUAUUAACCAUUAAGUGUUUACAAGCAGAUCAGGGAUGGUACAGAGCAAUAAACUAUAUGUGGGCUUACAUAAUGGCAUGGAAAUAGUAAAAUAACAACAAAAAAACCUAAAACUAUCAAAAAGAAGAGGUGACUUCUAGGGGCUGCUUUAGUGGUCAUUCUGACUACUGGAGUAAGUACCCACUCCUCAUCCUCCAUCAGUCAAUAGAUUCAUGCUUAGACCAGGCCUGUUUGCUUGAACCAUCCAUGUCACAUUACUCCACUUUUCAAUGAAAUUGCUAGAAGGUAACACUUCCCUUUCUACCCUCACUUUCCUUUUUAAGUGAUGCUUGAAAAAUUGAUAUAGGCUUGGCCAAUGAAAAAAGUGUCUGUCAUCAGCUCUUUCAAUCUGGUCCACAACACAACCUCUUUUGCUAAGGCUACCAAACAGAUAAACACUCUGUUUGUCCCUGUCAAAGGUAGGUGGCUAGACGAAAUGAUAAUUUCCAUAAAAGGCAUGUCACAAGUUUAUUGGUUGCAUCAAGUCAUCUGGUGCUUAUUUCAUCAACCUCAGAAAGCUGACAAGCAAAUCACCUCUGGCAAGAGUUGGUCCCAGAAAUGUAAGUCGAUGAAAUGGCUACACCAGAGCACUUGAUUAACACCUGUCGCAUUGUAAUUAAGUGAAGUAGAUCGGAAGUGCUAAUAUUGCCAUGUAACCUGGUGACUGAAUCAUGGUCAUAGUCGCAUCACUGUGGUAAUCUGCUUGGCUUUUUUUAAGUAGCACAAUGCUAGUGAUGGAGAUGAACUGUAAAGCUUUCAUACAUCAUAUCAGAACCCACUCGCAAUUGCUGCUUUCCUCUAAGCAGAUUUAACAGAAAGACCAACCCAAAUUGCCUGUUUAACUCUUCUUAAAACUGUUAUCCCAAAGAGGUCAUUAAAUACAAAAGGAAUGUAUAGGUGAUCCCUACUAAUCUGUUACCCCUACUGCAGUCUUCAGUACUUAACACUAUCUUCUAUUCUCUGGACCUUACUAACAGUUACAAUUUCAGCCUCUCAGAUCCUCUGUUAGCCCUUGUUUUCUACCCUUUUCCUUCAGAACUACUUUUGUCUGGAAAAUCUUCAUUGUAAUUGUUGUUCAUGUUUCCUCAAGGUUUUCUAUACCAUUUCUUUCACAUGAAACAAAGGGUGCUUUAUCAGUGCUACAUUGUGUGCAAGAGGUGAAAACCAUUCAGUUGGUCCAGGUAGUAGAGGCAUAACAUAGUAGCAAAGCUGCAAUUGAAUUUUUGACAGAUCAAGACUUGGUCCCAAGCAAAUACAUACAGCUUUCCAGUUGCACUUUGCUCAACUGUUUAGGGUAAGUGCUAGAUCAGAGGUGAAAAUAGACUUUAGUGCAUACCUUUGACUCUCUAAUGUGGCUCCAAGUACGAAAAGUGGAGUGCUACAAUAAAACCUAAUAAAAUACCAGGGUUGAUAUAACUGACUAGCCCCUCUCCUAAAAAUCACUGACCUUGUACCUAAAUUAAAAAUUAUUAUUUUUAUUAUUAUUAAAUGCUGCUGAGGUCUACUCUAUCUUUCAUCCUUUCAGGGUCGAUAAAAUAAGUACCAGUUGAAGACUGGAGUUGAUAUAAUCGAUUUAUCCCUGAACUUGCAGGCCUUUUGCCAAAAUUUGAAGUCGUUAUUAUUAGUAGUAGUAAGGUGGCAAGCUGGCAGAAUUGAUGCACGCAUGGCAAAAUACUUGGCAGUAUUUUGUCUGUCUUUACAUUCUGUGUUCAAAUUCCACUGAGGUCAACUUUGCCUUUCAUCCUUUCAAGGUUGAUGAAAUAAGUACCAGUUAUACACUGAGGGAGGUCAAUGUAAUCGACUAGUCCCCUCCCCAAAAUUUCAAGCCUUGUGCCUAUUGUAUAAAGGAAUAUUAUUAUUAUUUUUAGUAGUAGUAGUAUAGCAAUGGUUGUGAGUUAGCAGAAUUGUUAGGGUGUCAAAACAAUGCUUUCUUGUAUUCAUUCUGAGUUCAACUCCCUUGAUUAUCUGUGUCUUUUGCUCUUUCGAGGUUAAUAAGAUAAAGUAUCACUCAAGUUCUGAGAUCAAUGGUAUCACCCCCCCCCCCUAUCCGUCCACCACCUCUCAAAAUAGCUGCUGGCUUUGUGUCUGAACUAGAAACCUGAAAAGGAAGCUUUGUAUUUGUGCUGGUUGCUCUUGACUGUCUGAGUUAGAAACCCACUGGGGCCAACUUUACCUUUCGUUCUUCCAGGAUUGAUAAAAUUAGGCCUAGUUCGAAUUAAGUAGUAGGGUCAACAUAAUCGACCAUUCCCCACUCCUCACCCAAAUUUCUAGCCUUUUUACAACCUGUGAGAAAUUAUUAUUGGAAUAUUCUUUGGCACAAGCAUGGCUGUUUGGGUUGACAAGUUUGCUUCCCAACUACAUGGAUUCAAGUUUAGUCCCACUGUGUGUUAACUUAGGUAAGUCUUUGCUUAUUGCUAUGAGCUGACCAAUACCUUGUGAGUGGAUUUCGUAGAAAAAGCUAAAAGAAGCCUGUUGUGUGUGUAUAGGUGUGACUGUAGUAAGAAGCUUGCUUCCCAGCCACGCAGUUCAAGGUUCAGUCCCACUGUGUGGCACCUUGGGCAGUUGUCUUCUAUAAAGCUUCAGGUUGACCAAAGCCUUGUAAGUGGUUUUGGUAGAUGGAAACUGAAAGAAGCCUGUCAUAUGUGUGUGUGUGUCUGCAUUUGUACCACCACCACCAUCACUUCUUGACAACUGGUGUUGGUGUGUUUAUGUCCCCGUGACUUAGUUCAGCAAAAGAGACCGCUAGAAUAACUACUAGGCUUAAGAAAUAAGUCCAGGGGUCAAUGUGGUGCUCCAGCAUGGCCACAGUCAAAUGACUGAAACAAGUGAAAAACUAUAUAUUUGUGAGUGUGUGUAUAUUUGUGUCUCCUUGUCUUAAUAUUACAUGGUUGUUGUAAAUGAAUGCCAUUCAUUUUCAAUAUUCUGUGUGGAAAUUGUCUGGCCAUAGGGAAAGUAUUCCUUGCUUAGAAAUAGAUAAUGGUUGAUGACAGGAAAGGCAUCCAGCCAUAGAAAACUUGCCUUGGUAAACUCUCCUCUGAUUCCUGAAAGAAUGGGAAAAUAGAUGUUAAAAUGAUGGAAGAAGUAAUUGAGCACCAGACUAAAUGCACCACUGUGAGUUCAAAUCCCACCGAGAUCUAGUCUUUUAUUCUUUUACUUGUCUCAGUCAUUUGACUAUAACCAUAUUGAGCAAAUCGACCCCAGGACUUAUUCUUUGUAAGCCUAGUACUUAUUCUAUCAGUCUCUUUUACUGAACUAAGUUACAGGGAUGUAAACACACCAGCAUCAGUUGUCAUGCGAUGGUGGAGGAACAAACACAUACAAACAUACGCACACACACACAUAUGCAACAGACUUCUUUCAGUUUCCGUCUGCUAAAUCCACUCACAAGGCUUUGGUCGGCCUCAGGCUAUAGCAGAAGACACUUGCCGAAGAUACUACACCAUGGGACUGAACCCAGAACCAUGUGGUUGGUAAGCUAGCUUCUUACCACACAGCCUCUCCAUAACCUGUUGACUGUCCAUUCAUAGUUUCCCCUCCAUCUUCUUUUAUCCACUCUGGCUCAUUCUGUCGUGCUCCUUUUUAGUAUUUUCCCUUUCUGUUUACAUUUGUCUUCCUGUCUCCCUCUCUUCUUUGCCUGGUUCUCUCUUCUCUGCAUAAUAUCUCUCUCUCCCCCUUUUGCUCUGUCAAUUUAAUCAACUGUGCCCAUCUCACAAAGUAUGUCGCUUUGUGCCAAUGCUAGAAACCAUUAUUAUUAUUAUCAUUGCCUUUGCACAGCUUCUAAUGCUGGAGAUGUACUACGGUGUCAGCUGUUCACUACCAGUGAACUAAGGUAACACCUCUUAUUUUUUGAGCACCUUCUGGAGUAUUCAAGCAGUUCUAAGCAGUGCUGUUUUCAGCAAGUGCUCCACCCUUAUUGCAGCCCCUAUUUGUUCCGCGUACUUUUUGAGAUUUUUGCUCACUGUUCUUAGGGCUCUGACAAUUAUUGGUACUACUGCUAGCUUUUUCAUCGACCACAACUGCUUAACCUCCCAAGCUAACCUGUCAUAGCUAUCGACUUUUCUUUCUUCCUUAUCGCAUGCCUUGUCAGCUGGGCAUGCUAUAUCUAUGAUCCAGCAUAGUUUGUUUUCUUUCUCAAUUAAAUGUCUGGCUUCCUAUUCUCAAUCUCAUGGUCGCACUGAAUCAUAAAAUCAUUAUUAUUAUUAUUAUUAUUAUUAUUAUUAUUAUUAUUACAAUUAUUAUUUACGAAUUUGUUUCUUCUUCUGUGUAAUGAAUUAUUUGAAGCAUGCUGUUUCCAGUUGGAUGGCCAUCCUUUCUUUGACUUGCCUAUCAUAAAAUAACAGUAUUACCUGCACUACUUUAUAUUUACACUGAUAAUCAUUUUUUUUUUCUGCCAAGCAUCACAUUCUAUAGGAAGUAUCUCUUCUGGUGACCAUGCCCUCCACUGAUAACUUUUGCUAUUAUAAUUGUGUGUUUAGCGAGUUCAGUUCAAGGAUGUUAGGACAUGCAUUGUGUGUUGUAGACUAAAUAUUUGCAUGCUUUUUGUUCAGUGAAGUGGUUGUGGAUAACAAACCUCAUUUAGUUGACAUAUUUUUCUCUUACUGAUUUACAUCCAUUUUGUGUGCUUGUGUGAGUAAGAUGAAUUGAGUUAUUUGUGAGAGGAAUAUGCUUUUAAAGUUGGACGAUUGUCUCCCAUCACUUGGAAUUGAACUUGUUGUCAGUUUCUGCCUUGUCCGGGAUUAUGACAGCUAAAAAUAUGAACAUAAGACCACAGAGUCAAUAGAUCAGUAACUUUAGUGUCUUAUUAAUAUUUACUUCAUUAACCCUUUCGUUAUUAUAUUUCUGUUGAGAUGCUCUGUAUUUCUUUCAAUUGAUUUUAAAUAUAACAAUAAAGAAUUUAGUAAAAUAACUUAGUUAUUAUUCAGUUAGUGUUAGGAACAUAAAUUGUGACUAAGGUUUGGUGGAAGAUUUUAAUUCAAAACUUAUGGAAACAGGACAUUUGUACUCAGAGCCAGAGGCAGUUUCAGCCGGGUUGGUAACGAAAGGGUUAAAGAUGGCAAACUGGCAGAAUCAUUAGCACAGCAAGUGAAAUGCUCAGCAGCAUUUCAUCCAUCUUUACAUUCUGAGUUCAAAUUCCACCAAGGUCAACUUUGCCUUUCAUCCUUUCAGGGUCGAUAAAAUUAGUGCCAGCUGAGCAUUGGGGUCAAUGUAAUCAACUCAUCCCCUCCCCUAAAAUUGCUGGCCUUGUCCCAGAAUUUGAAACUGAUAUUUACUUCAUUAGAUUAGCUAUUUUAUCCUGAAUAAAAAAUACUUGUAGGUGUUACUCUAUAGCUCACUGGAGCUGAAAGGUCUUUAACGAUAACAGUAAGUUGUAUGUACAGAUAGAUAAUGCUGGGCUUUAGUGUUGCUGUCCUGAUUGUAUUACAUUUGUGUUUCUUUGUGUCUUUAAAGGGAAACUGAUGUCUCCUUCUCACUAUUAUGAAUCAGCCGAGAGUUGCUAGUAUGGUAGGCAAUGAUGUUUCCCCGUGUUAGGCAUAGUUGGUUCAGUAGAGUUUCCCUCCACAAAUAACAAGACGGGAUAUGUUUUCAUUUUAUCACAUAUUCAUGACCACCUUAAGUUUUUACAAUAGGUAUGAAACCAUAGAGAUUUUUUUCGUCUUUUUCUAGGGUGUACCCAGACUCUCACUCUAGACAAUAUUUCUGGAAGUACUACUACUCUAUAUAACAUUGCAUUUCUCUCUCCCAGUGAAAAUAGAUUUAUUGAUUUGAAGAUAUCAGUUAAGUCCAAAUGUUGCCUAUCUUGUCCCUAUUUUCAUUUCUUCAUCCAGUCAAACAGUAUCUUUGAAUAUGCUGUCAAAAUACAUGAGCUAGUUUAUUUUAUUGAAUAUUUUGGGUCACAGGUCUCUGUAGCUCCUGAUUUCAUGUUUUUGUUGUUGUUGUUGUUACUGUUUUUUUUUUCUUUCUAUUUAUUUACUGCUAGGACAAUGUCAUCUACCAGUCUUGUCAUUCUUUCCCUGUACAACAAAUGUUUAUGCAUUUUCUCUUUGUAAACUGGAACAGAACAAAAACUCAUCACUUCCAAUUCACUUUACCCACUACAUAUACAACCAGCUGCACUAUCUUCUGACAUUCAGAAGCUAUUACCACUUACAUUGUAAAAUCCAUGUGUUGGAGUUGGGGAAGGGAUGACACAGAUAAAAAGUUUGUUGUUUCUACAGUUCUAGGUGCACAAGCCUUGUAAAAGCUGAUGAAUGACUUCUUCAAAUGUAAAAGGUCAGUAUCUGUUAACCCUAUCCCUGAAGGCUAUGACCAGUCAGUAAAGAUUAGCUGGGAGCAGGGCCUGUAGUCUUUUGAAAAAGUGGUACCAUUGUAUAACAUUCCAACUUUGGUGCACAGGGACAGAGAUAAACUUACUAUCUAACUUUACACGUGUCAAUAUUUUACUCAUCCUUUUAACCUGUGAUAUUGUAGGUCAGAUAGCUCUGCAAAUUUUCUAUACGUAGUUGCUCAGUCUCGUAGACGAAUCUCUCUCUGCUGCAUUUCAGCAACUAGGUACCUAUACAAUUUAUUGAUCUGUUCUCUAGUGUGGCCAAAUCUUCUUCAGCAUUAUCUUGUUUUCAAACUAGGAUCACCUACAUCAACCAGUUAUGGAGUUGUUAACCCUCACUGAUUCAAAUUUUCACCGGUGAUGAAAGAUGCUAAUCAUAUGCAAAUCAGUUUGCACAACUUCUUUCUAUUGGCCAGUAAAAAUAUAUGUAUACUAUAUCAAAUGAUGUGGAGAAUUCUGCAAAGUACCCCAUUAUCAGAAAGGAGUAAACUUGCUUCCCAGUUUCCCAUAUCUCAAAUGCACAUGUGCAGAACCAAAUAUCUUCAGAUACCACACACUGUAAGAGUUAAUAUAGCAGUUCAGGUUACCUUAAUAUACCAGUCAAAUCCCUCUGAAAUACAAUCCCCUAAUAUCUUUAACCCUUUUGAUACCAACCGGCAUGAGACCAUCCUUGGUUUUGUAAUAGAAACUUCAUGCUUGAAAGUAAUCUUAGUUUAAGCUUUCUAUGAGAAUUUGGUGUUAAUUUAUGUUCCAAACACCAGCUUUACAAUGACAAAAUUAUUUUACUAAUUUCUCCAUUAUUUUCAAAAUUAAUUGAAACAAAAGGCAGUGUAUUUCAACAAAAAUCUGUUGACAAAAGGGUUAAAAUAUGGGUCAAGUAUUGUGAAUCAUAAUCUUAGGACAGAAGGGGACCAUAUUAGAAAUGCACACUUCAAACCUAGAUGACACACAAGACUUAGUAUUUUGAUUACUAGACCCAAAACAUCAUCUCAAGUAAACAAGAAUUUGACCUGAAAUAGCAAACAUUUCUCUCAAAUUACACUGUCUUGAAAUGGAAAUAAUAAAAUACUUGAAUGAUGGACAAGUGGGUUGUGGAUGGAAUACUUUUGAUCAUAGAUCUGCUUCAUCAGGCCUGGCACUAAGCAAAUACAAUAAGGCCCAACUCUAAAGUGGAAGUGGUAAAUGACAGCUUUACUGCCAUUACAUAGUUUGGUAUUGGUAAGAGCCAUUUGCAUGACUUUGCUUGGUUUGUAGUUGAGCACUUCAUUAAUUAACCUUCACAACCAUGUGGUUUUAAAUUCUAUCCUACUGUGCAGGACUUUGCCCAAGUGCCUUCUAUUAUAGCCCUGGGCCAACCACUGCCUUAUGAGUGAAUUUGGUUGAUGGAAACUGUGGGGAAACUCUUCAUGUACAUUGGGUGCCAGUCCCCCACCAUUAUGACCAUCAUCACCACAUGACAACUGGUGUUGGGUCAUGUCCUUGUAACUUAGCAGCUCAGCAAAAGUGCCCAAUAAAAUAAGUACCUGACUUUAAAAAUAUGUUCUGGGGUUGAGUUGUUCAACUGAGCACUUCAUGAUGUUACCCUAGCAUGGCAACAGUCCAAUGGUUGAAUGAAGUAAAAGAUUAAAGUUAUUCAAAGCUAAUAAUAUUUGGCACACAGGUGCUUACCUUGUUGAAAUUCCUCAUUAUCAUUUGUGUAAUAAUAAUGCUUAAGUUGGGGAGCCGGCAGAAACGUUAGCACGCUGGGUGAAAUGCUUAGUGGUAUUUCGUUUUGUCUUUACGUUCUCAGUUCAAAUUCUGCCAAGGUUGACUUUGCCUUUCAUCCUUUCGGAGUCGAUAAAUUAAGUACCAGUUUUGUACUAAGGUUGGUCUAAUCGACUGGCCCCCUCCCCCCAAAUUUCAGGCCUUGUGCCUAGAGCAAAAAGCAUUUUUUUUUUCUAAAUGCUUAAGGCAGUGAGCUGGCAGAAAUGUUAGCAUGCUGAGGGAAAUGUUUAGCAGUAUUUCAUCUGUCUUUAUGUUCUGAGUUCAAAUUCCGCCAAGGUCAACUUUGCCUUUCAUCCUUUCAGGGUCGAUAAAUUAGGUACCAGUUGUGUACUAGGGUCAAUCUAAUCAACUACCUUCACGUCGCCCCCCCCUCCCCCAAAAAAAAAAUUUGUGCCUAGAGUAGAAAAGAAUGAUGCUUCAGUUAGAAUUUUAAUUUGAAUAUGAAGAAUUUAAUUUGGUUUUAACUUGAGAGUAGCUUUUUAAAUGUGACAGAAUCUAGCUUGCAGAUCUAAUCUUGCAGGUAGACUAAUUACUAAUGUUAAUAUUUCUUAUUGUGUAGGGUGGUAAGCUAGAAUUAUUGUUAGCUUAACAACAUAUCAUGUGUGUUCAUGUUCAGAAUUCAAAUUCUGCUGAGGUCAACUUUGCGUUUCAUCCUUUUGGGGCCAGUAAGAUAAGUAGCAGUUAAGCACGGGGAGUCUUGAUUUAAUUGUCUAACCCCGCCCCAAAAUUGCUGGCCUUGUGCCUAAAAUUUGAAACCAAUAUUUCUCAUUAAUGUUGGCAGAAUCGUUAGUAUGCUGGACAAAAUGCUUAAUGGUAUUCCUUCUGGCUUUACAUUCUGAGUUCAAAUUCUGCCAAGGUCCAUCCCUUCCUGUUAACCACAUCCAUGGUUAAGGUUGAACUUAGCAUUAUGUGGUAUGGAGGACUAAAACAAUUUUAUACUGUUUCUACAGUACUUCAUGCAUGGCUGUGUAGUUAAGAAGCUUGCUUUUCAACCACAUAGUUUCAGGUUCAAUCUCAUUGCAUAGCACCUUCUUCAACUAGAGCCAUGGGUCAACCAAUACCUUGUGAGUGAAUUUGGUGGUGGGAAACUGUGUAGAAGCCUGUCAUAUAUAUGCAUAUCUAUUUGUCCCUCCCCACUCAUCACUUGACAACCAGUGUUGUUUGUUUACAUCCCUGUAACUUAGCAAUCCAGUAUAUGGAAGUAAUAGAAUUUGUACCAGAUUUAAAAAGCAUCAAGGCAGUGCCCCAGCAUAGCCCCAUUACAAUGACUGAAACAAAUAAAAGAUAAAAGAUUAUAGAAUGCUUAAGCUGCACCUACCCAUGAUACUUAUUUACAGAUAGUUAGAUUCAUCAAGCAAUUAAGUGCCUUUGCUGUCAGCUCUGUAAAGUACUGGUGAUGGGGAAAGAAGCCAUUGGUUCUUUAAUCCUUUCAAUACCAACCUGGCUAAAACUGCCUCUGGCUCUGUAAUGUAAAUGUCUUGUUUUCAUAAGUUUUGAAUUAAAAUCUUCCACCAAACCUUAGUCGCAAUUUAUGUUCCUAACACUAGCUUAAUGGUAGCUAAGUUAUUUUACUAAAUUCUUUGUUAUAUUUAAAAUCAGUUCAGAGAAACACAGUGUCUCAACAGAAAUAUGGUAACAGAAGGGUUAACAAAUGAUUAAUUUAACCCUUUUGAUACCAACCUGGCUGAAACCACCUCUGGUUCUGUUGUACAAAUGUCUUGUUUUUGAAAGUUCUGUAUUAAAAUCUUCCAAACCUUAGUCACAAUUUAUGUUCCUAACACUAACUUAAUGGUAACUAAGUUAUUUUACUAAAUUCUUUGUUAUAUUUAAAAUCAAUUGAAAGAAACAGAGAGCAUCUCAAAAUAAAUACAGUAACAAAAGGGUUAAGCCUAUUGGUUUGCAUAGCAGAAGCUCUUCUACACCUCCCAAUAAAGUAACUGGUUCUCAUUUCAUCAACCUUGAAAGAGAUAGAAAUAUUUUGAAGUUUACCCCAAUGGAAUUUGAAAUCAAAAUCAAAUCAUUAAUCACUAAGGUAAGAGAAAACUAGUCCUGUGGUCGGCUGCAUGGCUGGCCUCAGUAGGAUUUGAACACUGAAUGUUAAAACUGGGAACUUAUAUGGCAGAGCAUUUUGUCUGAUGUUCUAACAAUUCUGCCAGUUCACCACCUUAAUAAUAAUAAUAAUAAUAAUCCUUUCUACUGAAGGCACAAGGCCUGAAAUGUUGGGGGAGCGGUAAGUCGAUUACAUCAACCCCAGCGCUCAAAUGGUAUUCAUUUUAUCAACCCCAAAAGGAUGAAAGGUUUAGUCAACCUCGGUGGAAUUUGAACUCAGGCAUACAGAUGGAUGAAAUGCUGCUUAGCAGUUUGCCCAAUGAGCUAACAAUUCUACUAGCUCACCGCCUUGAUAAUAAUAAUAUUAAUAAUAAUCUGAAAUUUUGGCAUAAGGCCAGCAGUUUUGGGGGAGGAAGUAAAUUGAUUGCCUUUCAUCCUUUUGGAGGUCAUGCAUAGUUGAUCUCAACAGAAUUUGAAGGCGGGCAAGAUGCUGCUAAGCAUUUCGCCCAGCAUGGUAAUAAUUCUGCUAAGCUCACCACCUUAAAUAAUAAUAGCUCUUUCUAAUGAAGGCAUAAGGCCUGGAAUUUGGGAGAGGGGCUCAUCAAUUACAUAAACCCCUUGACUGGUAAUUUAAUUUAUCGACUUUAAAAGGAUGGAAGUGUUGAUCUUGGCAGAAUUUGAACUUAAGACAUAAAGAACCAGUAAUGCCACUUGGCGUUUUGUCCAAUGGACCUUGUGAUUCUGCCAGCUCAAAGCCCUUCAUAAUAAUUCUUUCGACUAUAGGCACAAGGUUUGAAAUUUGGUGGGAGGGUGGCUAGUUGAUUACAUCAACUCCCAGUGAUUGACUAGUAUAAUUUCAUGGGCCCUGAAGAGAUGAAAGGCAGAGGUUGAUGUUGGCAGGAUUUGAACUCAGAAUUUGAAAAUCAGGCAAAUUGUUAGUUCACUGUCUAAAAUGGUUUCAGAUCUUGGCACAAGACCAGUCAUUUUCGGGCAAGAGGGGUGGGUUGAUUAUAUUUACCCCAGUACUUGGUACUUAUUUUAUCAACUCUGAGGAGAUAGAAAGGCCAAGUUAACUAUGGAUUUGAACUCAGAACAUAGAGCAGGAAAAAAUACCUCUAAGCAUUUGUCUGAUGCUUUAAUGGUUCUGCCGCGAAUAAUUAUGAUGAUAAUAAGGGUUUUGAAUUUUGCCACAAGGCCAGCAAUUUUUAGGGAGGAGGUAAGUUAAUAACAUUGACCCCUCCCCCCAGUAUUUGACUGGUACUGAACCCCUGGAAGGAUGAAAGGCAAACUUAAGCUCAUUGAGUUUGAACUUAGAAGAUUAAAAGCCAGUAUAAAUGCCUCUUUAGUAACCCUUUCUACUAUUGGCACAAGCCCCAAACUUUUGGAGAAAGGAGGCUAGUCAAUUACAUCGACCUUAGUACUUUACUGAUACUAAUUUUAUCGACCCUGAAAUGAUGAAAAGCAAAGUUGACCUUGGUAGGAUUUGAACUCAAGACAUAAAUACAGGCAAAAUGCUGCUGAGUAUUUAAUCCAGCAUGCCUAUGGUUCUGCCAGUUCACCACCUUUAAUAAUAUUUUCUACUGAAAUUUUGGGGGAGGUGGGGCAGUUGAUUAGGUCAACCCCAGUACGCAACUGGUACUUAAUUUAUCAACCCCAAAAAGGAAAGGCAAAGUUGACCUUGGCAGAAUUUGAACUCAGAAUGUGGCAAUGAACGAAAUACCGCUAAGCAUUUUGUCCAGCGCGUUAACGAUUCUGCCAGCUCAUUGACUUUACCACAUUUAAUAAUAGCAAUAAUUGUUUAAAAUUUUGGCACAAGCCAGCAGUUUUUGAGGGGAGGGGGAAGUUUGUUAAAUAAUAAUAAUAAUAUGACUAGUGGUUUCAAAUUUUGCCACAAGGCCCACAGUUUCAAGGGUGGGAAUAAGUUGAUUAGAUUGACCCCAAAAAGAUGAAAGGCAAUGUCAAACCUUGGCAGAAUUUGAACUCAGAAUGUAAAGACUGAAGAAAUUCUUCCAAACAUUUUGCCUGACAUGCAAACAAUUGAGCAAUAAUAAUAAUAAUAGUGAUGGUGGUGAUAAUCUCUUAACAUUGAUGCAAGUGUGAAAAAAAAAAAAAAUUUGUAGGAGAGAGAGGUAGUUAAUUUGCUGAGUUCAGUAAACAACUUUUUUUUUUUGUGGACUUUUUUCCUUAUAAUUGCAAAACACAGAAGUUGGUUGGAUUUGAACUCAGGGUAUAGAAGGAUGAAACUAAAUACUUAUAUAUGACAUUACAUGUAAUGCACUGCACCCUCUUCAACCUCAUAUCUAUAGGGGCCAAUCCAAUUUAGUCUGUCAUUUAACUGAUUUUUUGCCUGACAUUUAAGAUUUAUUAGAUACGGCAUAAGAUAGAUAUUCUUGGGUCUUAGGGUCAUUCUAGGUGUACAGGAGUAAUGAGUUAGGUCAAUAGUUCUCAACCACGGUCCAUAUAAGAUUUUUGGGGGUCCGCAAAGCAAAUGAGUACAUUGAGGGUCCACAAUAAUAUUUUAGGGGCCCCUGAAAAUCUUUUGCUUGGUAUAUAUAGCAAGAAGCAGCUUGGUUUCUUUCUCUAGCAUUUUACGUAUUCAACCUACACAAGUUAAUGUGUGAAAAAUGAAAUAGGAAUUUUGAAAAAAGUAUCUAUAAAAUUAAUUUUUAGACACAAUGGCUAUGGGGGUCCACUAAAAUAAAAUGCUAAUCAAAGGGAUCCAUAGGUAAAAAAAUGGAUGAGAACCCCCGAGUUAGGUUACAGAUCUGUUGUGUGUGUCAGUAUUUCAUAUCUUUACUCUCCAUGAUGAUGUAGGUUAGAUAGCUCUGCAAAUCUUGAGACAUACAUGAAUGGUUUCUACAUAGUUUUUCAAUCAUCAUCAUUUAAUGUCCACUUUUCCAAGCAUGCAUGGGUCACAUGGAAUUUAUUGAGGCAGAUUCUCUACAGCCCUAUGCCCUUCAUGUGCUGCCACAAAACAUUUUGUCCAGUGUUCUGACAGUUAUACUAAUCCACUAGCUUCAUCAUCAUCAAUCCCUGGACAUUUCUAUCUCAAGUCGUAGGACUGGUUUCCAUGGUAUCCAAGUGAUUGAGAUCACAAUGAUCCACCCAAAUAGAAUGCCAGUUUGUUGCUGGGUUACUCAUUUACGGUUGAGUAGACUGGAGCAAUGUAAAUGGAGGGUCUUACUCAAGAACGUAAUGCACCACCCAGUCCAGGAACCAAAUCCACCAUCUUGCAAUCGUGAGUGAAACACCCUAACCUCCAGGCCACUUUGGACUGUUCAGAAGUGAUGAACAUCAAAGUUAGCUUUGGCAAGAUUGGAACUCGGAAUGUAAAGAACUGGAACAAAUACUGCAAAUAAUUUUGUCCAACCCUUUAGCAUUUAAACUGGCCAUAUCCAGCCCAAAUAUUCUACCAGUUUUAUGUUCAACUUGCCAAGAUCUAGCUUCUCACACCUGCCCUACAUUGUCAAUUGAAAUCAAAUUCGAUGACUGGCAUCCAUGCUAGUGGAGUGCUAAGAGCACCAUCCAAGCAUGAUUGUUGCCAAAGCAGCAAACUGGCCUCCGUGCCGGUGGCACAUAAAAAACACCAUUCGAGCGUGAUCGUUACCAGCGUCUCCUUACUGGUGCUUGUGCCAAUGGCACGUGAAAAAACAUUCGAGCGAGGUCGUUGCCAGUGCCGCUGGACUGGCUCCUGUGCAGAUGGCACGUAAAAAUCACCAUUUGAGCAUAGCCGUUGCCAGUGCCGCCUGAUUGGCCCUCGUACCGGUGACACAUAAAAGCACCCACUACACUCUCGGAGUGGUUGGUGUUAGGAAGGGUGGGAGUGUCUGGAGGUGACAUGAGUCUAGCUAGUUCUGAGAAGCAGAAGCUAUUAUAGUAACAGUAGAAAAAGCAGGGAGUGGUGGGGAGACAGUGUACCUGUGAAUGUCUUUAGUUAAAUGGCUCUUUUGUAGAUGUAAUCUAGAAUGGCUAUGUGCAGUAUCAUGAGAGCACUGCUUUAAUGUAGGUCUCACCUGAGUUUUUUAGAGUAAUUGUUAGGGACGAAAGUAUCUGCUGAUCCUAAAGAGAUGUAUGUAUACUUGUCUGAGGUUGUAGUCUAAAACAAGUGUUUUGUAUCCCAUAACCUAGCUCUUCAGCAAAUAGAAAUCAAUUAAAAAGGUGGUGCCAUACUGCAGAUAAGUACUACGGUUGCUAUGGUUGACUAAAAUCAUUGAAAGCAAUUCUCCAGCAUGUUGGCAGGCAGUAAAAGAAUAUGUAGUGUUAUUAAGGUUGGUGGUGAGUUAGAUUAGAGGAUGUAUGCAACAGUCUCGUUACCAUACCUAGGUAUUAUCUUUUGUAAGCCUUCUGGCUUACCAACCCCCAGUCAAACCGUCAAACCCAUGCCAGCAUGGAAAGUGGACGUUAAACAACAUUGAUGAUGAGUCACUCUCUAGUUCCUACCCAAUCACUCCCACCCUCUCUUCUAAAAUGUGAGUAGCUGUGUGGCAAUUUUACAGGAAGCAACUUGUUCUGAUCUGGCCCUUUUCUCUCACUUUAUCCCACUUCUCAUCUCCUUGCAUAGAGUUGCUCUCUUGGAGUUUGUAGUACUUGUGGCAGCAUUCACCUGGGGUCAAUUAAACCAGCUCUGACCAAUUAGUUCACUCACAAAUGCUCACCAUAUUUGAUAGUCAGCCCUAACAUUCCAGCUCACAAAUUAGACAAAUGCUCCACUGGCAGAACAAGCAUGUAGCGCCAUAGCUAUUAUCUGUUGUUGAAGCGUAAGGUUCAUGUUCAGAGUAUUCAGUGGGAAUACAAGUCCGUAUGUGGUCUCUGACUGCAUGGUACCCUCAGUAGUGCUCAUGGCAUGAAAAUACCACACUGUACAUGUUGUAAAGUGGUUGGUAUUAGGAAAAACGACCAGUCAUAGAAACCCUACCAAGGUAGAGACUGGAGCAGGAUGCAGUCCUUGGGCCCAUCAAAUUCUGUCAGACUGUUCAAUCCAUGCCAGCAUGGAACAUGGGCAUUAAAUGAUGAUGGUGAAGAAUUAUGAUUGACACUAUUAGGGUAGGUUAUAUAAUGUAUGUGGUUAUUAUUGGAUGCAGGGAUUAAGUUAGAGAUGGAAACAUUAUGGGGAGAGUGUAAACUUAUUGGGCAUACCAUAAAUAGGGAUUAAGAUGGGUGAUAAAAGCACAGUUUAUAGAGAGUUAUAUUAAAGGAGUGUACAUGACACAGUCAUUCUUAUGUUAAUAAUGGAAAACUAAUGAGAGAGAGAGAAUAUAUAUGGCAAUGGUUCUCAACCAUUUUUUACGUAUGGACCCUUUUGAUUCCUAUUUUCUUCUACUGUAUUUUUUGUAAUUAAAUAUUAAGAAUUGUAUAAAAAAAUUAUUUUGUGUAUUCCACUGACAAGGCUUUGGUCAGCCCAAGGCUAUUGUAGAAGACACCUACCGAAGGUGCCACACAGUGGGACUGAACCUGGAACCAUGUGGUUAGCAUGCCAGACAAAAUACUGGAUAGUAUUUCAUCUAUCUCUACGUUGUGAGUUCAAAUUCCACCAAUGUUGACUUUUGCCUUUUGUCCUGUCAGGGUUGAUGAAAUAAAUGCCAGUUGAGUACUGGGAUCAGUUUAUUCAACUAGCCCCUUCCCCCAAAAUUUCAGGCCUUAUACCUAUAUUAGAAAGGCUUGGUUGCUAUUUAGUUAGUUAUAGGUCUACUUAUAGAAUUAUUAAUUUACCGAUACUGUUUUUGUUCAUAAGGUAAAUGUGGUUUCUUUAUUGUAGUUUAAUUAAUGAUGUUAGUGUUUGAUCCUACCUGGAAUUAAGAUUGAACGAAUGUGGUGAUAUCUAAGGUGUGUUUGUUCCCAAACAACACUUAUUUAGUGAUGUUGACUCUGCCGGAUUGAAUGGUACUGUCCAGGUGUCAAAACCAUAGUGAUAUCCAUGGGGCAGCUGAUGAUGGAGGUGUGUUGGAUUGUUGGUAUGGCUGUUAUUGUAUGUGCGGAAUAGUUUUAUAAGACAUACAUUUGAUGAUAUUAAAAAGGGUGGUGGGUUGCAGUCAUUAGAGCAGUGGACAAAAUGCUUUAUACUCUCAGUUCAAAUUGCACUGAAGUUAACCAUGCCUUUCCUCUUUCCUGGGUGGAUAAAAUAAGGUACCAGUUCAUUACUGGAUCAAUGUAGUCAUUUGUUCCCUCCCUACAAAAUUCCUGGCUUUGUGCAAACAUAAGAAAUAAUAAUAAUUUCCAGCGUGCCAGCUUACUCAAACCAUCCCAUGCCAGCAUGGACAGUGGACAUUAAAUGAUGAUGAUGAUGUUUCAGAUUUUGGUACAAGGCCAGCAUUUUUAAAUGAAGGGGAAUAGUUGAUUACAUCAACCCUGGUACUUGACCAGCACUUUUCUUUUAUCAACCCUGAAACCAUGAAAGGCAAAGUUGAAUUUGGCUGUAAUUGAAGUCAGAACAUAAAGAGUCAGAAGAAAUGUCUCAAAGCAUUUUGUCUGAUUUGCUAACAAUUCUGCCACCAUAAUCCAUUUGGGCCCAAAUUUUUUAAUUUUAAUUUAUUACCAAAAAUCUUUUUUUAUCUGAUACUCUUUACUUGUUUCAGUCAUUUGACUGUGGCCAUGCAGGAGCACCGCCUUUAAUCGAGCAAAAAGGACCAUGGGCAUUAAUGGGUUAAUGAUAAUAAUCUUUUCUGCUAAAGGCACAAGAGCCGAAAUUUGCUGGGCAGGAACUGGUUGAUUGCAUCAACCCCAGUGCUAGACUGAUACUUAUUUUAUCAACCCUGGAAAGGUGAAGGGUGAAGUCAACCAUGGCAGAAUUUGAACCAAUGUGGUAAAAAUGGACAGAUGAAAUGCUGCUAAGUAUUUAACCCAGCAUGCAAAUGAUUCUGCCAGUUCACUGCCUUAAUAAUAAUAAUAAUAGAUUUAUAAGAAAAGCAAGUAGAUUGGUAGAGUAUAUGCUAAAUUUAAUUUUACCUCUCUCUCUGAUAUGAGUCUAAUUCUAGCUGAGUUAACUUUGACUUUCGUCUCUCUGAGGGGAUCAAUGAAAUAAGUAUCAAUCAAUAACUUUGGAAUGUGUAUCCUUGUUUCAGUUUAAAUAACCCUAAUCAUUAUUAUAUUCAUUUAUCAAAGCUGGUAGCAGGAGCACAGUUUGUAGGGAGCUGUAGUUUUCACUUGAAGGUUUUCAGGCUGCCUCUUGUUCUCAAAGAUAAUAAGAUUGGUCCCUUUAAUGUUGUUAUAUUUCAAUUUAAAUCUUCCGUGUCAAUGUUAUUUAACAAACUGUUUUUUAUAUUCUACGUCUAUCCUUGAUUAUCUCAGAUGUUUGGUUACAAACAACUCAGAGAAUCAGUGAUAAGUGAAUAAUAGAACAUAGGGGAAUAAUUGGUUUCAUUCUGAGACCCCAGGUUGUCCUGAGCAUUGGCCAGUUGCUGGGGCAUGGUUUUGCAGUUCAAGCAGAAUCUUUGACUGACCACCAACCCAUGUUAUCUCAGAUCAAUUCAUGAUAAUAAGCAUUAACACAGUUCACAAUUCAUGUGUUGGGUUAUCCCAGAUCAGAGAUGAAUGAAUCAGUGAUAAACAAGGAUAGCUGUAUUCCAUAGAACUGCUUAACCCUUUAAAAUUUAAACCAGCCAUAUCCAGCCAAAAUAUUCUGCCUAUUCUAUAUUCAAACCAGCCAGAUAUGGCCACUUAUAUCUUACACUACAAUGUCAUUCUAAAACUUAACAAUCACAUGAUCAAAACCUUAAAGCGACAACACAUUGCAUAUGAUAAAUUCAGAAUGAUGUCAAUAAAUAUCUAUCUAGGUCAUCCCUCAGGGUACCCCAAGACUGUUUUCACACAUUUUCCCCAUUCAUCUCAAUCUUCCAUAAUGGUCCUCAGCUCCUCUACCCCUUCCAUACCAGCAUCCAACUUCCCCCUUCCUCUCCUGGUUCUUGCUUCCGUUUGCAUUUGACAAAGUAAUCUGAAUGCUAAAGAGUUAAUAAUGGAGAAACUAGUUAUUUUAAUAAAUCCUUCCAUUGAGGUAAAAAUGGACAGCAUAUUCUGUUGGGAAUAAAGCCAAGCAAAGAUUAAGUUAUUUUCUGAUCCCAGAGCCAGUUUGUAGUGGGAAUAAUAGGAAUAAAUGUUGAUAUGCCGUUCACAGAUGGAGGGGAGACAAUAUGGUAUGUCUGUUAAGCAUGAUGCAAUAGCUUUAUUCUUAAUUAAAACUGUUAUUGCUCCUCUCCUUGAUGGAGCACACUGUAGCAGGAUUAGGUGAUGGUUCACGCUGAUACAUUGUCCAGUUUACCCAAUUUCCAUGGUGCGUUUAAGUGACAAAGAUCACAACAAUCCCUCUUGAAAGGGUCACUGGUUUGUUGCAGGGUUCAAGGCUAGGAAUUUUGAGGGGUGAGGACAAGUCAUUUACAUCAGCCCCAGUACUUGAUUGGUACCUUAUUUUAUCACCACCCCCCCCAAGGGAUGUAAGGCAAAGUUGUCCACAGCAGGAUUUGAACUCACAAUGUAAAGAGCCAGAAGAAAUGCUGCCAAGCAUUUUGACCAAUGUGCUGUUGGUUCUACCUGUUUGCCAUGACUUUAUAGAGCUACAUUAUUGAUAAUCCUGUGGAUAAUGGCUAGGCCUGUAGCAUAAUUUAGCACCCAUCACCUUCUACUCAAUAGUCCAGCUCCUUAACUUCACAUCCACUGACAGCCUUAGCUGAUUAAAGCAAGUAACAAUUAGUUCUGUUAAGGUUUGAACACAUGACCUUAUUGUCAAUCAGUAUUUGAGCUUCUUAACUUCACAGACGCUGUAAUGCUAAUAGAAAGGGAAAAAAAACUAGUGAGAGCCAUGUGGAAAUUGAACCCAGUUUUCCAGGCAUGCAACUUUAAUGCUCUAAAGACCCAGUUAUUAAUUAGCUUUUGCAGCCUUUCAAUCUGAAAGAUUUGAAGAUGGAAACAUUAAGCGCUAAUUUGAGCUUCCACAAACUUCUCUGUCAGUCUUUGUGUCCUUGGUUGGUGUGGUCUGAAUUUUUCAUGGAUCAGCAGAAACAGAGCAUUGGUUAGGAGACAAGCCAAGUUCAAGUUUUCUGAGAAUGCACACUGCGUAUUGUGUUACAUUAGCAAGCCAAGCAGUAGCAGAAUAGCAUCAAGUGAUACUGUGAAAUACAGAACAGCUGAUGACUCAAUGACACUAUAUUCAUGUGUAUUGCAAUACAUCAACAAGCUGUACCAUGUAUUGUAAGACAAUAACAAUUCAAACUGUAUAUUACAUAUAGGUGCAGGCAUGGCUGUGUGGUUAAGAAACUUGCUUUGCAACUGUGUGGUUUCAGGUUCAUUCCUACUGCACAGCAUCUUGGAGAAGUGUCUUCUAUUUAAUGCAGUGAACUGGCAGAAAUGUUACCACGCUGGGCAAAAUGCUUAGUGAUAUUUUGUCUGCAGUUACAUUCUGAGUUCAAAUUCCGCUGAGGUCAACUUUGCCUUUCAUCCUUUCGGGGUCGAUGUAAUCGACUUAAUCCCUUUGUUUGUCCGCUCUAUGUUUAGCCCCUUGUGGGCAAUAAAGAAAUAAUAAUAAGUGCCUUGUGAGGAAGCGUGUAUGUACUUUUGUGUUGUAUUUGUCAUUGCCCCCCCCCCCCCCGUCAUUCAACAACCAGUGUUGGUUUGUUUACAUUUGCUUAAUGUAUGAGUUUGGCAAAAGAGAACAACAGAGUAAGUAUCAAAUUUUAAAAAAGGAACGAGUACUGGAGUGGAGGUUGGGGUGAUUUGUUUAAUUUUUAAACAUCUUGAAAUGUGCAACUACAUGGCUGCAAUCCAAUGAUUGAAACAAUGAUAAGAUAUAUGUGCCAUCUUGGUGAAGUCUUGAUUACUUAACACUUAAGAUUAUAAAUGGUUGUGGGUUUGACCUCUAAACCAGGCAACUCUUGUAUCUGAAAUCAAAGACUGCUGUCAUAUUUCUCUAGUUUUACUUGUUAAUUAAUUUUCUUCAUAAAAGCAUUACCACCACAAUAUAACAGUAUUCUCUGUCUGUCUCCCCUCUGCCUUCUGCUUUCUAAUUAUUGGGUCUUGUACAAGUAUAAACUUAAUCACAGAAGGCACAGGUGUGGCUGGUUUCGAACCUUGGUUCCCAAACAUAUCAUUCCAUGUUCAAUCCUACUGCAUGCCACCAUGGGCUAGUGGAGUUGGUACGUGGAAACUGAAGGAAGGCCAUCGUGUAUGGUUGUAUGUAUGUGUCGGAGAUUUCCUUGUCUUGGCAUUGUGUGGUGGCAGUAAAUGAGAGUCACUGUCAUAUGAACAGUGUCAUUCCUUUCCAGUGUUUUGUAAGAACAUGUCUGGCCAUAGGGAAAUGUUACCUUGCUUGGUGACAGGAAGGGCAUUCCAACCAUAGAUAAUCCACCUCAGUAAACUCUUCCCCAUGCAUGGAAAAGUAAAUGUUAUGAUGAUAGAAGCUAACAUUCAGUUUACAUAUGAAUCGUUUCAUAUUAGUUGUUUGUCUAUGCACAAAAGUCUUUUAAUACAGAGUUGAACUUCCAAUGAUCAAUGUUUCACUUCCCAGAUGGAAUAAUUUCACUUCACUUCCUUAAACCUUUUCUUUGAUAAGUGAUUUUGUGCCACAGCUUCCCAUUUUACUCCUCACACCCCAGAAAUUUGAUGGAAACGUAAUUCCACUAAAAUUUGAAUUAAUGUUGUCUUUAGAUGUUUCAUUCUUGGUAACCUUUACUAUGCUGUAGGUGCAUCAUGUCACUGUAUGAAUUUUCUCCCCUCUCAGUGUGAUACAAUGUAACUGUAGCUACAGGGGAGAAAACUCAUACAGUGACAUGAUCUGCAUAAGCAUACUAAAGAUUAAUCAAACUAGUGGAAUUAUAAAGUCUUUUAUUGAUAAAAGUCUUGUUCUUGAUUUUAGUUGUUUGUUAUAAUUCCAUCAACAGCAUCCAUAAUGCUUAUGGAAAUAUUAAAUUGAUCACAGUAUUUGAGUGCUUCAGAAAGAUCGAAAGCAAAAACUGAUUUGAACUUGUAAUAUAAACGCUGUAAUUGUUUGUAACUGCUUUUAGAGGUUACACUUGAGUGAAUUUGGCAGAUGGCAACUGUAUAUGUUCCAGGUUCAAAUUCCAUUAACAGAAUCUAUGAUGCUUAUAGAAAUAUUAAAUUGACCACAGUGUUUGAGUUGACCUCAAUGGAAUUUGAAGACAGAAGGAAUGCUGCUAAGCAUUUUGUCUGGUGUGCUAUCAAUCCUGCCAGCUGGUCGAUUAUAUCAACCCUGAAAGGAUGAAAGGCAGCUUGCCACCCGAGGGUGGUCAUUUCUAGAUUAGCCAUGGUGACAUAAACUUACAUAAAAGGGAAUUUGAAAUGAUAUAAUUGAUCAUCUAUGUCCUUCAGAUCAAUAAAAUAAGUACCUUGAGUAUUAGCAACACCCUAAUAAUGGGUACAGGGGAGUAAUCGAUUAUAUUGACCCUAACGAUCAACUGGUACUCAUUUUAUGAAAGGCAAAGUUCACCUUGUAAUUUGAACUCAGAACAUAAAAGCUGAAAGAAAUACCAUUCAGCAUUCUUCUGACAUUUCUUUUAUUUGUUUCAGUCAUUUGACUGCGGCCAUGCUGGAGCACUGCCUUUAGUCAAAGAAAUGACCCCAGGACUUAUUCUUUGUAAGCCUAGCACUUAUUCUGUUGGUCACUUUUUGCCGAACUACCAAGUUAUGGGGACGUAAAUACACCAACAUUGGUUGUCAAGCAAUGGUGCGGGGGGGGGGGGCACAGACACACAAGCAUAUACAUAUAUACAAUGGGCUUCUUUCACAAGACUUUGGUUGAACCAAGGCUAUAGCAUUUGUCACUUGUCCAAGGUGCCAUGCAGUGGAACUGAACCAGGAACCAUGUGGUUGGGAAGCAAGCUUCUUACCACACAGCCACGCCUGUGCCUAUAACAUUCUUACCAGCUCAGGGCAGUAAUGAUAUGCUUUCUACUAUAAGCACAAGGCCUGAAAUUUGGGGAGCGGUCCUGGUUGUUUAUGUUGACUCCAGUGCUCAAAUGGUCCUUAUUUCAUCAACCCUGAAAGGAUGAAAGGCAAAGUUGACCUUGGUAGAAUUUGAAAUCAGGAUGUAAAGACAGACUGAACCACCACGAAUCAUUUUGCCUGGCAUGCUAACAAUUCUGCCAGCUCAAUAAUAAUAAUCCUUGUUAUUAUAGGCACAAGGCCUGGAAUCUUCCGGGAGGGAGCUGGACGAUUACAUCAGCACCCGUGCUCAAUUGCUAUGUAUUUUAUUGACCCCAAAAGAAAGAACGGCAAAGUCGGUCUCAGUGGAAUUUGAGCACAAAAUGUAAUAACAGACAAAGCACUGCUAAGCAUCUUUUCCAGUGGACUAAGCGUUCUGCCAGCUCAUUGCCUUAUUAUAAUAAUAAUUAUUUCAAAUUUUUGCCACAAUUGCAGCUUGGGGGAGGUGGGGAUGAGUCAAUUACAUUGACACCAGUGUUCAACUGGUACUUAUCUUAUCGACCCCGAAAGGAUGAAAGGUAGAGUCAACCUCUGCGGAAUUUGAACUCAGAACGUAGCAGUGGGCGAGAUACCACCAAGCAUUUCGUUCAGCAUACUAACAAUUCUUCCAGCUUGCCACCUUCCCUAAUGAUAAUGAUAAUAAUAAUAAUAAUAACAGUUGUGUCUUCUAAGGCGGCAAGCUGGCAGAAAUGUUAGCACGCCAAGCGAAAUUCUUAACAGUAUUUCGUAUGAGUUCAAAUUCUGCCGUUGUUGACUUUGCCUUUCAUCCUCUUGGGGUCGAUAAAUUAAGUACCAGUUGCGUACUGGGGUCGAACUAAUCGAUUGGCCCCUUCCCCCAAAAUUUCAGGCCUUGUCCCUUGAGCAGAAAAAAAAGAAUAGUUCUGUCUUCUAUUGGCUUGAGGCUUGAAAUUUUGGGAGAGGUAGCUUGUUGAUUACUUCCACCCCAUUAUUUGACUGGUACUUUAACAACCCCAAGAGGAUGAAAGGCAAAGUCAACAUACAGUGUUAAUGUUGUAGAAGAGGUGGGUAUCAUUGUUAUCAGUAUAUAGCACCAUGAUAGAUCAAUGGGACUUAAAUAAUCAGCCACAUGACUUGGCACAAUCCACAGACAUGUGUCUCUGACUAGUUGAGUUAUAGCUUGUGUCCAUAGGUAAAGUUGACCUCAACAGGAUUUGAAUGUAGAACAAAUGGUCAUACGUAAAUGUUGCAAGGUAUUUUGUGCUUUAAUAAUUGUAUGAACAUUCUACCUUUAAGAAUAAUGAUAUCUAACAUAAAUCUUAGGGUCUGUCAUGAGCCCUACAACUCAUAAGGCCAGGGUUAAACCUGGCUUCUAUGGUGUAUAAGUGAUUGAGAUUACAGCACACUCCUCACCCUGGAUGGGAUGCUAGUCUGUUGCAGAGUUAACUUCCCAGCUAUUGCUGGAACACAUUUACAGCUGAAUGGAUCAGGGCAACGUGAUAUGAAGUGAUUUGCUCAAGAACAUAAUGUGCUGUGUGAUCCAGGAAUUGAAACCAUGACCUUACGGUAGUAGUGAGUGCAGCAACCCAACCAUUAGGCUAUACACCUUCUGAAGUGCAAGGUACUACUGCUUGAUCGGAGAGGUUAACAACCAUUUCUAUCACACCCACCUCCCAGUUCUUAUUGUAUCAACCCUUGUAAUAAAGAUAAUGAUUUUAAACUCGAAUAUAACAAAUUGUUGAUCAACCAUCAGAUGGAGGAAAGUGUACCUAGGACUACAUUAUUCAAUGUGUCCUUUUGUUGUUUAAGACUGUGGCUUGUAAUUUGAGGGCAAUUAAACUGCUUUUUCUAGUCAUGUAGACACUUGUUUGCUUUUUUUCAUUCUGUAGUGGGAUUAGAGAUUAUUUGUCUAUAUUUGAUAUUUCCACCAUGGCUUUAGUGAGAGGUUUUUACUCUUAAUUGAGCUGUUUUAACGAUGGAUUUAGUUAGAGGUUGUUCGUCCAGCUUUAGCUAUUUCCAUGUUAAAUUUGGUUAGAGGCUUUUAGUUUUAGUUCAAUUGUUUCAAAGGUGGCUUUGGUUAGAGGUUAUUGAUCUUACUUUAACCAUUUCUAUAAUGGAUUUAGUUAAAAGUUAUUGGUCUUACUUCACCUGUUUUUAUGAUGGAUUUGGUUAUAGGCUAUUGGUCUUACUUUAGCCAUUUCAUAAUGGCUUUGAUCAGAGGUUAUUCGUCUUUCUUCAGCAGUUCCAUAAAGAAGUAUUUUCUUGAUAUGUGUAGUAACUGCAUCUUUGUGUUGUUGAAAGAAACAAAAAUGUCUGUGUUUUCUCCUUAGAUUUUUUAAAACCCAUCAUUAGCCAGGUGACUCUGAUAAGCAGACUUGUUUGCUUGCUCAUCCACCACCUCUUUAGUGUAUGCUGUCGUAACAUAGUUUCCUUUGGUUCAACAAAGCAACAAUCAACCUGCAUUGGUGAUGGGCCCCGUGUUGUCAAAAAUGAUGGCCUAAUUGUAGUAUUUUAUAUAUAAAUAUGGAUGGUAAAUCAAAUUAAUACAUUUAUCAAUUUUAUCAAGCAGUUGUCUUUUGAGAUGUGACAUUGAUCAUCAUUUCUUGCUGAAAGAAAGCUGGUUCGCACUUAUAAACUUUCACAUACUUCCCUUGUACACACACACACAUCUACUCACACAGAGUUGAAAUGCUGCUUGAUUUUCCUUUUCAGCAUUGAAUGUCUACCAUCCCACUUCCAUUGUGCACACACACAUACACUUGCACAGAGUUGAAACACUCCCACUACCAAGUUUGUCAUCACCCCCUUCCUUAUUCAUCCAUCACCCCUUUCUUUCUCAUUCAUAUGUGCUGACAGAGAAAAACACAAAAGUAUUAUUAUAGUAGAUAGUCAUGUCAGUUUAUUUACAAACUUAACACAAACACACUCUCUCAGUAUUUUGGUUAAUUAGUGAGAGUUGCAAGAAGAAGGGUAUCUGGGUGUCAAAUAGCUACCUUAACAAAUUCUCUUCAACCCAUACAAGUAUGAAAAAGUGGAUAUUAAAUGACAAUGAUGAUGCCAAAAUUGAAUCAUAUAACAUUUCUGUAGACAUAACCAACCAUCAUGUAAAGUCUCUUUAUAAUGAAUACCAUUUCAACCCUAGCUUCAUUCUUUUACUGGCUGAAACCAGCAAAAGACUUAGAAUAAAUUAAUAAUGAAACAAAUCUGAGAUGAUAUUGUUUUGAAGAUUUUCUUUCUGUUUUUGUAUUUGUUAUGUUUCCUUGAUUUUCAUUCCCAAGAGUUUAAUGUGUAUAACAUGAUGACAAUAACAAUUUUUAUAAAACUAAUGACAAUAUGUUUUUCUUUGUAUUUCCAGGUAAGAAUACGGUAUGGGAAUUUUUCAAUUUUUUUUUUGAAACUAAACAUAUCUGCAUUUCUUAAGAUGACUAAAAAGAAAAAAAAAGAAAAAGAAAAAAAAACCUAAUCCAAUCCAAGAGUGGAUCUUUUGUGCCUUAUUAUUGAGAUAUUAAGAUUGCUACUUAACCUUCGAAGUGUCAAGAAUGCCAUAUUUGGAUAUUUAUUGCACCAUCACCACCAACAACAUUAUGAUGAUAUACCACAAUGGAAGAUGAUGAAGAAGAUGAUGAUGAUACUGCCAUUGCUGUUCUUCAUUGUCCUCCUCAUCCUGUUUUUUCGUCUGCGACAGUCAAUGCUGCCAAACUUGGAUUACCUACCAUUUGUUGUGACUAAAAACAAACCAAGCCAAACAAGGAAACGCAAAUACACCCAAACAACAAACCUACUUACCCCGUCCCCGUAGCCCUCAAAAAAUAACCCUGGCUGUGACGUAAGAUUUGAUCCGCUGUCGUCAUCAUCUUUCUUUGGCUUUAAUAUUGCUGUUAGCUGCCAGGUGUCUCUGUAAGUCUCUACAACUGAAUGUUUGUGCCGUUAAUUUGGCAGACUUUUCUUCGUCUUUCUCCUUUUCUUUAUCUUUUUUUUAAUUUAUUUUAUCACAUUUUUUUUUCUAACAACUUAACAUUUUCAGAAUAAUUUGGAUAUUAAUUUUUUUUUUGUCUUUGCACGUGA